UCUACCAUGGCCAAACUUGGAGGAUGUAUCAAUAAACUUGAGCUUAAUCUCCUCCAAAGCAACCCUAGAUGUCUGGUUCAACAAUGAUUGUCUCAAGGUCACAACUCUCUUCUUUGGUCCCACGCAGCAUCCUUUUAUCAUCAAAUAAUCUUCCUUCACCACACCAUAAUGGGGGAAUCCUCCCAUUGGAGUGAUAUCCUUUUCAGUCCUGUUAUUUGUGAAACAGAUUAGCCAAUUUCGAUGGGGCAAAUUUACAAUAACAACAAUAACCUCCUACGAAUUGCUAGAUCAAGACGAAUGAUAUUAAUAUAGGACAGUGAAAAAAAGGCAUUAAGAAUGUUAACCUGUCAUAUUCAGUAAUUGCAGUAUGAGAAUCUUGGCCACUCUUCCCAAGCUUGUAGAUUUUCUUGUUCAUCUCAGUACGGUGAUGGUAACCAUUCUGUCCAGCCCUAGCAACAGUAAAUGACACCCUAGCUGGAUGCCAAGCACCAAUACAUGCCACCUUCCUUAGACCACGAUGGGUCUUGCGGGGCAGGCGGGUCACACCCCAACGAGUAACCACACCUUCAUAUCCCUUACCCUUGGUUACACCAAUAAUAUCAAUCAUCUCAUCCUUUUGGAAAACAGCAUCAAUAGGUAUCUGCUUCUCAAAGAAACUGUAUGCAAAAUCAACCUUCUUGGCAACAUCCCCACCAUUUACUUGAAUCUCCAUCAGAUGGGCUUUCUUCUGCUUCAACCCUUUCAUCUUUCUUAUCUGCAGAGUCAAUAGUGCAGCAAAUGUGAAGAGUUAAAGAUUAAAGAAGAGCACAUACAAGUUGUACUCAGAAGACCAAAACUGUGAAUCUAUACAAGGAUCAGCAAUCCAGCAGUCUUAAGGUGCUACUAAAUUGAUGAGUAAUUAUAUCUCAUUAGCAGAACUGAAUACACAAGGGAAAAGUGAAAGUAAUUUACCUGGGUGUGCGCCAAGACUCGAAUGACCGAACAAUGCUUCUUCAGUUUCUCCAAUUGAGCUUGAAUAUCUUUCUUCCCAUCCUCAGAUUCAAACUUUUUAGAGUACUUGGUGAAUGCCUUCUUCUUCGACUUGCACCAGUUCUUGUAGAAUCUCCUCCUCACAUCCUCACUCAAAUGCUGGGCCCAGACAGUGUUCAGUGAACGGAGACCACGGGGUGUUUUCAUAUAACCCACAACCCCAACCACCACCAUAGGUGGUGUCUCUACGAUAGUAACAGCCUCACAUGUUUCUUUCUUGUGGAGCUUUGACCCUGGCUUUUCAACUUCUCUGACAAUGUGGGUCAUCCCUGCUUUGUAACCCAGAAAAGCAGUCAAUCUGCAAGGUUUUGUUGGAUCAUCUUUGGGGAACGCCUUCACUGUAAACAUCACAUAAAAGCGUUAAAAAAAAAUCAACAAUUGCACAACACUAACCAAUAUGCAAAUUGCAAAAAUAGUCAAUAUAAACAACUCACAAGUGAGUAAGAAAUCAACAUUAACAAAUAUUGAAAUAAUUUAAUUGCAAGGCACUGAAAAAAAUCAAUGCAAACACUAAAACUAAGGAAGCAACAUAGGAAGAUGACACUCUUUAUGAAAACAAAAAAAAUUCUUGUAUUAAAAUCUAGAACUGCUAGGAAAUGCGAAUAAUUCAUUUAUAAUAACAAACCAACUACCAAGGCUAGGCAUAGGCCAUCUAUCUACCCACAACUCAUGCAGCAUAGAAAAGAGGCCAUUAUUGAAAUAUCAAGGACCUAUUUACUUGUAGAAAACAGUUUUUCUUUUCAACCUUCGAAGAAUUAGAAGACUAUAGUUUUCUUUUUAUAAAGAAAACAAAGGAAAAGAUGGAAAGCAAGUUCAAUAGUGAAUGAUAGAAAAUAGUUAUGUAUUUUAAAAAUUUUUAAGAAUUAUUUGUAUCCAUUCGUAAUAAAAAAAAAAGUCAUGAUAAAUAUAUUUUAGAUCUAUUUUUUAAUUGUGUCAAUUGUUUUAUCUUAUAAUAAUAUAGUUAGUUCUCAUUACUGUAAAUAAAUGUUUUUUCCCAACUUAAUGAUGAAAAGUUAUAGAAUAAUUUGAGUCAUUAGAGGAGAACAGUUGAAAAUAGAACUUUUGUUAUAAAGAAAAAUAAUGAGGAAAAAACAUAAAGCUGAUUUCCAAAUCUUAGUCAAGUUUUGGAAAAUUGAAAAACAAAAUUUUCAAUUCUCAGAUUGGAAAAUUGAUACAUAUGCACACAAAACUUUAUUUUCCAAUUUACUUAGAACAUUAUUCCCAAAAAUUACUCCAGUUUUCUACAAGUAAGAAAGUACAAAAAGUCCUGAGAUUUUUCAUGCCAAGGAAGAAAUGACAUACAAACGGACAAACCAUACAUGAAUUUAUUUUAUCAAAAGCCCUAUUUUUACAUCCAAAAAACCGAAGACAACCUUAACUAUAGAGGAGUUAGCUAAUACUAAAAAACCACCAUAAUAUGAUCAAAACUAAACAAAAAGCAAUUUAGGCAACAUCAAUUACUGAUAAUGAAAACAAUCAAUGCAUGACUUCAAAAAAAUCAACCAAUGCACAUUAUGUAAGGCCAAAUAUAAAUUUAAAAAGCUUCAGCAAUAAUGAGAUUAAAACAAGAAUUAGAAACCUUUUCCUCUGUGGCGCGAGGCUCUCUUCCUUGGAAGAAAUCCCAAAGAACCAUGCCGGGGGUGUUCAAACUUGCGAUGAGACAUGCUUCAACUUCAGGGUACCACUGCAACACUAUGAAUUUCAAACUUAUUUUCCUUGAAAAAGGCAGAAAAUUCACAACAACAGAAAGCAACAAAUUUUCAAAUGAUAUUUGGUUAAUCUCAAAUGCUACUACUUAUCAAUCUGCGUGUGUAUAAAACCAGAGAAACACUAUUCUCUCCAAGUGAAAAGGAUUAAAGAGGUAUUAUCCCAUAAAGGAGCUGAAAAUUGAGAUAAAGUUUCUGGAUAAAAGCAUAAUGACUAAAACACAGAUACAAAUUAAUAGAAACAUUCAAGUUUCAAUUAAAAAUAAUAAACAUUCUCAAAAAGAAGGGUAAGUUUUAAUAUUUAACAAUUAAUUUAUUAAAAAAAUACACAAUUGACAAUUUCAUUGAAAUACUAUGUAGUCAGACAAAAGUUUCUUGUAUUUGGAUCAGAUAAGGAAAAGUAAAAUCGUAAAUAAUCAAGAGAAACCAUCACAUUAAUUAAACCUGAUUGGAAGCCUCAAAACGGUUCUUUAUUCAACUUUAAAAAUCACUUAANNNNNNNNNNNNNNNNNNNNNNNNNNNNNNNNNNNNNNNNNNNNNGCCAUCAAAAUGCUACAAAGCCAAAAGGUCAUACAAUUUCAUUACUCAAUAAUCACGAAUUUCUUUUCUAGAAAAAAUGAAAUUAUAUCAACCCUUGACCUCUAAGCAUUUGAUAUCAACACCAAACCUUAAUAAGUGAAAUGAAAUGCUUCCCAACCAAAGGCCUAUGGCAUAAAAAUUAUGCCAAAUCUCAAAGCUCAGUGGUAUUCCUUUUCAAAUACCAAUUCAUGGUAUCGGCAAAAAGAGCCAUUUCCGAGACUCCAGCCUUGAUUAUUUCAGCAAUUCUCUUAUAAAGGGAAGUCGUUUCAAAAUCACCACCACGCAAGGCGCAAUAUCAAAAUGUUUAUCAGGACAAGAGCAUUAAAAGAACCUUUAAAAAACCUCCAAAACAUCUAUUUACAAAAGAGUAAAACAAGCAGAACCCAACUCCUUCCAGAACCAAGUAGAGAUCUAAGCUAAUCAAAUAUUGAAUCAAAAAGCGCAAACCAUUAUGAAUAAAUGACAGAAAUUGUAAGGUAUUACCUCCCGAGGAGAUCACUGGACGUACUGUGUGCCGAUAAGAACCCUAGAAAGGUUUAGCUAGGCAUUUAUAUCGUUCUCGAGGUCAGAUCCAACGGCUGCAAUUAGCAUCCAAUGGGUAUUAUUGUCCGUUGGAUGGUUAGGGUUGGGGUUUUGCAAGAAGCGCCGCGGAUCCAGCAGCUAUGGAAAAUAGUAAAUGGGCUAAGAAUAUUCAAAGUUGGGCUGAUUUGUUUUUUGGUUAGUGACUUUUAAGUUAAGUUUGGGUUCUGAGCAAAUUUUAAAAUGGUAUUUAGAAAUUGAAAACGUAAAUCAUAAAAUACUAUUUAUUUUAAUUUUGAAUAAAAAUUAUCUAUCAAAUAUUAAAAUAAUUAGUAACUAUUAAAACAUGUAAUAUUACUAGACAUUAUUUUGAAAAUAAUUUUUUUUAUAACAAUUAUAUAACCUUCAUGUGUAUAGAUGUAAAUAAUUUUUAUCAAAAUAAGAAAUUAAAUUUAUGGGAUAAAUUAUAGUUAAUCAAACUUUAUAAUUUUUUAAUUUUGUUAUAUAUAUUUAUGGUGUCCAAUAAAAAAUGUUAAAUUUUUAUUAAUUAGACAAAUAAAAAAUGUAAGGAUCUUUCUUCUUUUCUCGAAUGUGAGUUCUAUCCUUCCUUUGCCUCUAAGAGUGAGACACAUUUUUUUAGCUACUUUUACUCGGUGAAUUUAAAAAUUAGAAAGAAAUUAUAUUUUUUCUAUAUGCAUAUUUGGAUCUUUGUUGGUUUUCUCCUAUAUUUGCUUGGGUGGUUCAUAAUGUUCUAUUUGGACACUUUAUUUUUAGAGGAAACUCUUUUCCUUUAGAGGAAACUCUUUUCCUUUAGAGGACAUAGCCCCUUCCUUCGGGGGAGUUAUGUUUUUUGUGCUCAAUUAUUAUUUUUUUGUAGUUCUUGGUCUAAAUACUCUAAAAUCUAUUAAUAAAAUUAUUUUUUUUAAAAAAUAAGUUUUACCCUCCUUUCAGAUUCAAGCUUACUCAAUCAUGGAAAUAGCCUCUCUCAUUUCCAUCGAAUUUAGGGUACUCUGAUGCUCGGAAUGGAGGUCGUUUAUCGCAUCAUCACUAGCUCAUCCUCUCCUGAAGACCUAAAACAAUCUAUAAAUUCAAGUGGGAUUUUUCUCGAUAACAAUUUGAUCGAUAAAGUUCUCAAAAGGUUCAGGUUUGGUCAUGGGAAACCCUUGCAAGCACUUGAGCUCUUUAAAUUCACUGCCAAUAGAAAAGGGUUUUAUCACACUCCGAAUUCGUUAGAUACCAUGCUUUAUAUAUGGGCAAAGUCGUCAAUUUGAUCAUAUUUGGGAUGUUUUGAUUAAAAUGAAGAGGAAAGACCCGUCUUUGAUUUCCUCACGAACUAUGCAAGUGGUUUUGGGUAGACUGUGGAAUCUUUUAGAAUGUUCAAGAAGUUGGUUCCUGUGUUUGAUACCAGUUCUUUCAAUGCACUGUUGAGACCCUGUGUUUUCUUUAACAAAGGAAUGAUGAUCCAACCAAUGCACACGCCCCUGGAAUACCGCAGGGCAUAGAGCUCCCUACUUUCUUCUAAUACAAAAGCUACUUCCGACUGGUUUGUUCUUGGAGAAGGAGCUGGUUUUGCUCCUCUUAGAAGAGCUAGAACAUGCUAAGGUAUACCAGCUUUAGGUCAGCUUUUUCUAUUUGUUUUCUUUGAGAGGGGUUUGUUUCCCUUAUGUAUGGUCAAAUGCUGAGAUAACAGAGAAGAGGAGCAAAGAUUUACCCAGAAUUCCUAGGUGGAAGCUUCACAAGGGUAGCCCAAGUAUUUCUGUAGGUUGAAUUUCACAAAUAUGAUGGGCUUUAUGAGUUUUUUAUUUAUUGUAUUCAGGCCUUGAAAAAAAAAAAUAAAUAUCUAACAAUGAACUUUAAAAACUCGCAUCUCAUCCAAAAAGGUUCAGUAAUAAUUAAAGCAGCAGAUGCAGUCACUAAGCAAACCAACAGCAUAAGCACACCUCAAAAGGUUCAAACACUAGGAGAAAAACAAAUUCUCAAACGUAAGAAGAAAAGUUUUGAUGUUCAUCCAUCCUCUCCCAUGCUUAACUAAACUCAAGCCUUAACACGCCCAUAGAACUUGGACUUCUCCUGUGUUGUCUGGAAUCUUCCAUGGCCAAACUUGGAGGAUGUAUCAAUGAACUUGAGCUUAAUCUCCUCCAAAGCAACCCUAGAUGUCUGGUUCAACAAUGAUUGUCUCAAGGUCACAACUCUCUUCUUUGGUCCCACGCAGCAUCCUUUUAUCAUCAAAUAAUCUUCCUUCACCACACCAUAAUGGGGGAAUCCUCCCAUUGGAGUGAUAUCCUUUUCAGUCCUGUUAUUUGUGAAACAGAUUAGCCAAUUUCGAUGGGGCAAAUUUACAAUAACAACAAUAACCUCCUACGAAUUGCUCGAUCAAGAAGAAUGAUAUUAAUAUAGGACAGUGAAAAAAAAGCAUUAAGAAUGUUAACCUGUCAUAUUCAGUAAUUGCAGUAUGAGACUCUUGGCCACUCUUCCCAAGCUUGUAGAUUUUCUUGUUCAUCUCAGUACGGUGAUGAUAACCAUUCUGUCCAGCCCUAGCAACAGUAAAUGACACCCUAGCUGGAUGCCAAGCACCAAUACAUGCCACCUUCCUUAGACCACGAUGGGUCUUGCGGGGCAGACGGGUCACACCCCAACGAGUAACCACACCUUCAUAUCCCUUACCCUUGGUUACACCAAUAAUAUCUAUCAUCUCAUCCUUUUGGAAAACAGCAUCAAUAGGGAUCUGCUUCUCAAAGAAACUGUAGGCAAAGUCGACCUUCUUGGCAAUAUCCCCACCAUUCACCUGAAUCUCCAUUAGAUGGGCUUUCUUCUGCUUCAACCCUUUCAUCUUUCUUAUCUGCAGAGUCAAUAGUGCAGCAAAUGUGAAGAGUUAAGGAUUAAAGAAGAGCACAUACAAGUUGUACAUGAAAGAACAGAAUCAUGAAUCUAUUGAGGAUCAGAAAUCCAGCAGAGCCUUAAAGUGCUACUAAAUUAUUGAGUGAUGAUAUCUCAUUCACAAAUACAGAAAUGAAUGCACAAGGGAAAAGUGGAAGUAAUUUACCUGGGUGUGCGCCAAGACCCGAAUGACGGAACAAUGCUUCUUCAGUUUCUCCAAUUGAGCUUGAAUAUCUUUCUUCCCAUCUUCAGAUUCAAACUUCUUAGAGUACUUGGUGAAUGCCUUCUUUUUGGACUUGCACCAGUUCUUGUAGAAUCUCCUCCUCACAUCCUCACUCAAAUGCUGGGCCCAGACAGUGUUCAGUGAACGGAGACCACGGGGUGUUUUCAUAUAACCCACAACCCCAACCACCACCAUGGGUGGUGUCUCUACGAUAGUAACAGCUUCACAUGUUUCUUUCUUGUGGAGCUUUGACCCUGGCUUUUCAACUUCUCUGACAAUGUGGGUCAUCCCUGCUUUGUAACCCAGAAAAGCAGUCAAUCUGCAAGGUUUUGUUGGAUCAUCUUUGGGGAAUGCCUUCACUGUAAACAUCACAGAAAAGCGUAAAAAAAAUCAACAAUUGCACAACACUAACCAAUAUGCAAAUUGCAAAAAUAGUCAAUAUAAACAACUCACAAGUGAGUAAUAAAUCAACAUUAACAAAUACUGACAUAAAUUUAAUUGCAAGGCACUGAAACAAAUCAAUGCAAACACUAAAACUAAGGAAGCAACAUAGUAAGAUGACACUCUUUAUGAAAACAAAAAAAUGCUUGUAUUAAAAUCUAGAACUGUUAGGAAGUGCGAAUAAUUCAUUUAUAAUAACAAACCAACUACCAAGGCUAGGCAUAGGCCAUCUAUCUACCCACAACUCAUGCAGUCAGAAAAGAGGUUAUUAUUGAAAUAUCAAGGACCUAUUUACUUGUAGAAAACAGUUUUUCUUUUCAACCUUCGAAGAAUUAGAAGACUGUAGUUUUCAUUUUAUAAAGAAAACAAAGGAAAAGAUGGAAAGCAAGUUCAAUUGUGUAUGACAGAAAAUAGUUUUGUAUCUUAAAAAUUUUUUAAAAAUUAUUUGUAUCCAUUCGUAAUAGAAAGAGUCAUGAUAAAUAUAUUUUACAUCUAUUUUUUUAAAUGUGUCAAUUGUUUUAUCUUAUAAUAAUAUAGUUAGUUUUCAUUACUGUAAAUAAAUGUUUUUUCCAAACUUAAUGAUUAAAAGUUAUAGAAUAAUUUUAGUCAUUAGAGGAAAACAGUUGAAAAUAGAACUUUUGUUAUAAAGAAAAAUAACGAGGAAAAAACAUAAAGCUGAUUUCCAAAUCUUAGUUAAGUUUAGAAAAUUGAAAAACAAAAUUUUCAAUUCUCAGAUUGGAAAAUUGAUACAUAUGCACACAAAACUUUAUUUUCCAAUUUACUUAGAACAUUAUUCCCAAAAAUUACUCCAGUUUUCUACAAGUGAGAAAGUACAAAAAGUCCUGAGAUUUUUCAUGCCAAGGAAGAAAUGACAUACAAAAGGACAAACUAUACAUGAAUUUCUUUAAUCAAAAGCCCUAUUUUUACAUCCAAAAAACAGAAGACAACAUUAACCAUAGAGUUCGCUAAUACUAAAAAAACACCAUAAUAUGAUCAAAACUAAACAAGAAGCAAUUUAGGCAACAUCGAUUACUGAUAAUGAAAACAAUCAAUGCAUGACUUCAAAAAAAUCAACGAAUGCAUAUUAUGUAAGGCCAAAUAUAAAUUUAAAAAGCUUCAGCAAUAAUGAGAUUAAAACAAGAAUUAGAAACCUUUUCCUCUGUGGCGCGAGGCUCUCUUCCUUGGAAGAAAUCCCAAAGAACCAUGCCGGGGGUGUUCAAACUUGCGAUGAGACAUGCUUCAACUUCAGGGUACAACUGCAACACUCUAUGAAUUUCAAACUUAUUUUCCUUGAAAAAGGCAGAAAAUUCACAACAACAGAAAGCAACAAAUUUUCAAAUGAUAUUUGGUUAAUCUCAAAUGCUACUGCUUAUCAAUCUGUGUGUAUAAAACCAGAGAAACACUAUUCUCUCCAAGUGAAAAGGAUUAAAACAGGUAUUAUCCCAUAAAGGAGCUGAAAAUUGAGAUAUAGUUUCUGGAUAAAAUCAUAAUGACUAAAACACAGAUACAAAUUAAGAGAAACAUUCAAGUCAAUUAAAAAUAAUAAACAUUCUCAAAAAGAAGGGUAAGUUUUAAUAUUUAACAAUUACUUUAUUAAAAAAUACACAAUUGACAAUUUCAUUGAAAUACUGUGUAGUCAGACAAAAGUUUCUUGUAUUUGGAUAAGAUAAGGAAAAGUAAAAUCGUAAAUAAUCAAGAGAAACCAUCAGAUUAAUUAAACCUGAUUGGAAACCUCAAAACGGUUCAUUAUUCAACUUUAAAAAUCAAUUAAAAAAAUUUUUGAAAAAAAAGACUCAGCCAUCAAAAUGCUACAAAACCAAAAGGUCAUACAAUUUCAUCACUCAAUAAUCACGAAUUUCUUUUCUAGAAAAAAUGAAAUUAUAUCAACCCUUGACCUCUAAGCAUUUGAUAUCAACACCAAACCUUAAUAAGUGAAAUGAAAUGCUUCCCAACCAAAGGCCUAUGGCAUAAAAAUUAUGCCAAAUCUCAAAGCUCAGUGGUAUUCCAUUUCAAAUACCAAUUCAUGGUAUCGGCAAAAAGAGCCAUUUCCGAGACCCCAGCCUUGAUUAUUUCAGCAAUUCUCUUAUAAAGGGAAGUCAUUUCAAAAUCACCACCAGGCAAGAUUAUCAGGACAAGAGCAUUAAAAGAACCUUUAAAAAACCUCCAAAACAUCUAUUUACAAAAGAGUAAAACAAGCAGAACCCAACUCCUUCCAGAACCAAGUAGAGAUCUAAGCUAAUCAAAUAUUGAAUCAAAAAAAGCAAACCAAGUAGAGAUCUAAGCUAGAAGUUUAAUUAUCAUGUAUGUUUAUGAAUCAAUGACAGGAAUUGUAAGGUAUUACCUCCCGAUGAGGAGAUCACUGGACGUACUGUGUGCCGAUAAGAACCCUAGAGAGGUUUAGCUAGACAUUUAUAUCGUUCUCGAGAUGAGAUCCAACGGCUGUAAUUAGCAUCCAAUGGGUAUUAUCGUUGGAUGGUUAGGGUUAGCGUUUUGCAAGAAGAGCCGCCGAUCCAGCAGCUAUGGAAACUAGUAAAUGGGCUAAGAAUAGAGAAAGCCGACUACAUCCAGUCCAAUAUUCAAAGGUGGGCUGAGUUGUUUUUUGGUUAGUAACUUUUAAGUUUGGGUUCUGAGAAAAUUUUAAAAUGGUAUUUAGAAAUUGAAAACGUAAAUCAUAAAAUACUAUUUUUUUUAAUUUUGAGUAAAAAUUAUCUAUCAAAUAUUAAAAUAAUUAGUAACUAUUAAAACAUGUAAUAUUACUAGACAUUAUUUUGUAAAUAAUUUUUUUAUAAAUGUAAAUAAUGUUAUCAAAAUAAGAAAUUAAAUUUAUGGGAUAAAUUAUAGUUAAUCAAACUUUACCAUUUUUCUAAUUUUGUUAUAUAUAAUUAUGGUGCCCAAUAAAAAAUGUUAAAUUUCUAUUAAUUAGACAAAUAAAUCUAACCGUGGUUUUAUUUUUUUUUUUUUUUAAAUAAAGAUUCUCUCUCCAAAUUCCUUUCUUAAGUUUUAACUUAAAUUCAUUUGCUGCCUCCUGUGCGGGUGAGCAGUAUUCGGUUCAAAUCGAAAAAAUUGAUCGAACCGAACUGAUUUAAAAUUUUAGUUCGGUUUUUUAUAUAUUUUGGUUCAGUUUGGUUUUUAAUUUUAGAAAUUUCGGUUAUUUCAAUUCGGUUCGAUUUUAAUUAAAAAAAAAUCGAAAAAACCGAAUCAAACCGAUUAGUAAUAAUAAUAUAUUUUUUCAAUAAUAUAGAGAAAUUAAAUCAUAUUAAAAUUAAAAUAUUUUAAUUAAAUUUUAAAAUAUUAAAAAUAAAAUGUAAAAAAUAAAAAAAUUAUUAAAAAUCGAAACUGAUCAAACCGAACCGAAUCGAACCGAAUCAUACCGGUUUGGUUCGAUUCGAUUUCUAAUCAAAAUCGGUUCGGUUCGAUUUUCAUAAAUACUAAAAUUUCGGUUUCGGUUUAUUCGAUUCGGUUCGAUUUUGAACCGAACUGACCGAAUGCUCACCCCUACUCCUGUGGUUUAUCAUAUCUCUGCAUGUAAGAGGAUCCUUCUACCCUUCCUUUGCCUCUAAGGGUAAGAGAGACCUCUUUUCUUUUUUGAAUAUAGUUUCUAUUUUCUCCCAUCCGAUUGGAUUGUAGAUAAUCCUUUUAACUAUUUUUACUCGGUUGUAUUUAAGCAUUCGAAAGAGAUCAUAUAUUUUUUAUAUGCAUAUUUGAAUCUUUGUGGGUUUUUCUCCUCUUUGCUUGUCUCUUUCAUAAUGUUCUAUUUGUAUACUUUAUUUUUAAAGUAAACUCCUUUACUUUAGAGGACAUGCCCCUUCUUUAGCAUGAAUUAUAUUUUUUGUGUCUAAUUGUUAUUUUUUUUGCGAUUGUUGGUCUAAAGAUUCUAAAUUACUCUUUGAUGAUUAUCAUUCGAUAGAGGGGGCAAGAAACAAAAUAAUAGUUGUAUCUAGCACAUGCUCGUAAACAGUUUAGAAAGCAGGAAUGAGAUGACAAAUAAUGAUACCACCUUUAUUCAUUGCCAACACAUAAUAGAUGUAGAGUUUCUAUAUGGUUCGGUACUCAAUGGUUUUCUCUUUAUCUUUCUUCGAAUAUUUUUUAUUUCUUUACUUUUUUUUAUUUUUCACAUUUAAAUUUAUCAAUAUCAACAUCUCAAUAAAUAGCUAGCUUAGUAUAGUUAGGGUUAUAUAAUUUUUUUUCAGUAGGAUAGGCUUGCUUGUAAUGGGAUUGUGUUUUACAUGUAUGAAAGAAUAAAUAUCAAAUACUUAAAUUUUUAAAAAAUUUAUUAAUUUAUUUAUAUUUUAAAAUUAUUCAAUUAAAAUAUCUUUAUAUUUUACAUAAUCAAACUCUUGUAAUUUUUAUGUUACUUUACAAGAUUUAUUUUAAAUUUGAUCAGAAAAAUUAAAUAGUAUGAAUAUUUCAAAUUAUAAAAAUUAAAUAAUACAUAUAAUUAAAAUUAUAAAAACCAACCAAAACAAUUAUUCCAGGUAGGUUGCUAAUGUUUUUUUUUUUUAACAGAAAAAAAAAUUUAUAUUUUACAAAAUAUAAAAAUAAUUUAAUGGAGUGAUUUGAAAAUAAAAACAAACUAGUUUAUUUAAUAAAAUUUCAGGGAUUACAUAAUAAUUUAGCCUAGAUGUAUUUGGGAUGGGUUUGGACCAAGCAAUAUUGUUUUUUCUUUUUAGUCAUAGCCUAUCUGAGGGCCCUCAACUAGAAAAUGAAAUUGCAUUAAUAAAAUUAAUUUGGUUGGACUCAAUUAAAUUUGAUAUAUUGGCUUGGAUUAAUUAUAAAUUCAGUUUCAGUUAUGUUUCUCAAUAUUAACUUUAAUUUGAAACUUAAUUACAAUUAAUUAAAAAGUUAAACUAUUCUAUUGGCUCCUUUCUAGAUUACCUCAGCUUGAUACGGUCUUUUGCCCAGAAAUGCAAGAAAUCUAGAAUGUUUACUUCUAGAUGAUGUGCAAGUCCAUUAGUUCUUUUGGGUCGGAUCUAGAGAAUCCAAUCAGGAUUAAUGUUUUCUGGGUGGAAUUUACAUUUGAGUUGUCUUUUACUGGAACCAAAUCAUUGUACUUUUAGGCCAUAGUUAAUGAUAUUUCAAUCCAAAAUUUGAUACUAAAUUCACAUUGAUUUCACACAUCUCAAAAACCAUAAAGAUGACCUUGACAUAAUACUUAUUAAUAAAUUCGAUUAUUAUAUGGGCAAUCUAUUAACAGAAAAUGGACAUUAAACUGAAAAGCAUCGAACAGAAGUAAUACAAAUACCAUAUGCAUUGCAUUUUGUGCUCAAGCAGACACUUGAAAGCUAAUGAUCUGGAUUAGGAAUACUAUUACUUCAUACAUGCUUCCAUUCAGUCAUCAAGCAAACUGGCUUUGUUAAUGGUACCUCAAAUCAUCAAUGUCAUGCCCUUUGAGAGCAAAAUGGAGCACUGAAAUCAAUGGCAUUCAGAUAUAUAAAUAGCAGUAAAUAAUUUAAUAAGGAAAGCUCCAAACAGGUUCAGUAAUAAUUGAAGCAACAAAACUACAGUCACCAACAAAAACCAACAGAGUAAUCCAACUCAAAAAUUUCAAACACUAGGAGAAAAAGUUGUGAUGUUUAUUUAUCCUCUCCCAUGCUUAGCUAAACUCAAGCCUUAACCCGCCCAUAGAACUUUGCCUUCUCCUGUGUUGUCUGGAAUCUACCAUGGCCAAACUUGGAGGAUGUAUCAAUGAACUUGAGCUUAAUCUCCUCCAAAGCAACCCUAGAUGUCUGGUUCAACAAUGAUUGUCUCAAGGUCACAACUCUCUUCUUUGGUCCCACGCAGCAUCCUUUUAUCAUCAAAUAAUCUUCCUUCACCACACCAUAGUGGGGGAACCCUCCCAUUGGUGUGAUAUCCUUUUCAGUCCUGUUAUUUUUGAAACACAUUAGCCAAAAUUGACAUAGCAAAUUUACAAAAGCUACCAAAAUCUCUAUGAUUUGCCUGAUCAAGGUGCAUAGUAUUAAAAUAGGACUGUAAAGGGAACAAGCAUUAAGAUGGUGAACCUGUCAUAUUCAGUAACUGCAGUAUGAGACUCUUGGCCGCUCUUCCCAAGCUUAUAGAUUUUCUUGUUCAUUUCAGUACGGUGAUGGUAACCAUUCUGUCCAGCCCUAGCAACAGUAAAUGACACCCUAGCUGGAUGCCAAGCACCAAUACAUGCCACCUUCCUUAGACCACGAUGGGUCUUGCGGGGCAGACGGGUCACACCCCAACGAGUAACCACACCUUCAUAUCCCUUACCCUUGGUCACACCAAUAAUAUCUAUCAUCUCAUCCUUUUGGAAAACAGCAUCAAUAGGGAUCUGCUUCUCAAAGAAACUGUAGGCAAAGUCGACCUUCUUGGCAAUAUCCCCACCAUUCACCUGAAUCUCCAUUAGAUGGGCUUUCUUCUGCUUCAACCCUUUCAUCUUUCUUAUCUGCAGAGUCAAUAGUGCAGCAAAUGUGAAGAGUUAAGGAUUAAAGAAGAGCACAUACAAGUUGUACACGAAGGAACAGAACCAUGAAUCUAUUGAGGAUCAGAAAUCCAGCAGAGCCUUAAGGUGCUACUAAAUUAUUGACUGAUGAUAUCUCAUUAACAAAUACAGAAACGAAUGCACAAGGGAAAACUGAAAGUCAUUUACCUGGGUGUGCGCCAAGACCCGAAUGACGGAACAAUGCUUCUUCAGUUUCUCCAAUUGAGCUUGAAUAUCUUUCUUCCCAUCUUCAGAUUCAAACUUCUUAGAGUACUUGGUGAAUGCCUUCUUUUUGGACUUGCACCAGUUCUUGUAGAAUCUCCUCCUCACAUCCUCACUCAAAUGCUGGGCCCACACAGUGUUCAAUGAACGGAGACCACGGGGUGUUUUCAUAUAACCCACAACCCCAACCACCACCAUGGGUGGUGUCUCUACGAUAGUAACAGCUUCACAUGUUUCUUUCUUGUGGAGCUUUGACCCUGGCUUUUCCACUUCUCUGACAAUGUGGGUCAUCCCUGCUUUGUAACCCAGAAAUGCAGUCAAUCUGCAAGGCUUUGUUGGAUCAUCUUUGGGAAAUGCCUUCACUGUAAACAUCACAAAAGAAAAUAAAAGAUCAACCAACACUUAUCAAUUCAUGAAUUGCAAAAAUAAAGUCACUAUAAACAACACACAACAGAGUAAGAAAUCAAUAUCUCAGCUAAUAUUAACAAAUAUUGACACAAUUUAAUUCAAGGCACUUUUACAGGUCUAUGCAAAUAAUAAAACAAUGCAAGUACCAUAGUUGUAGAUAACAUUCUUUAUGAAAAAGAAUCUUGAAUUUAAAUUUAGAAGUGUUACUAAGUGUAAAGAAUUCAUUUCAAAUAAUAAAUAGACUAUCCAGGCUAGGCCAUCUGACCAAAACUCAUGCAGGAAGAGGUUAUUAUUCAAAUAUUAAAGGCCUGUUUACUUACAGAAAACAGUUUUUUUGUUUUCCAUUUUCUGGAAAAACUGUAGUUCCAAUUUUCUAAAGAAAAUAAAGGAAGACAUGCAAAGUGACUUCAAUUGUUAAUAAUAUAAAAUAGUUUUCUAUUUUAAAAAUGUUAGAAUCUAUUUGUAUAAUGAAAAAAUGAAACGUAAAACGUUACCAUAUAUUUAAAAAUGUUAUAAUUUUCUAAAGACCCUAUUUUCACAUCCAAAAAAGCCAAGGAAAACAUGAAACAUUGAGUAACUAGCUAAUACUAAAGACACCAUAAUGUGAUCAAAACUAAACAAAAAUAGCUUCGGGUAACAUCAAUUUCUGAUAAUAAAAACAAACAAAAAACAACUUCAAUGAAAAUCAAUGAAUGCAUAUCAUGUCAGACCAUGCAUAAAUCAUAAACAGCUUCCGCGAUAUUAAAACUAGCACUAGAAACCUUUUCCUCUGUGGCGUGAGGCUCUCUUUCUUGGAAGAAAUCCCAAAGAACCAUGUCGGGGGUGUUCAAACUUGCGAUGAGACAUGCUUCAACCUCAGGACACCACUGCAACACUCAUAGAAUUUCAAACUUAUUAGAGAAAAUUCAUACAAGAUAGGAAAAUAUCUUUCCAAAAGAUAUUCAGUUAAUUUUAAAUGCUUGAACUUGUCAAUCAUUUUUUUAAUAAUAUCAGCGAAACAAAUUUCUCUCUCAAAGAAAAGAAUCUUACCAAGUAUUAUCACAUAAAGAACUGAAAAUUGAAAUAAUGUUUUUGUAUGAUAUUGUACUCGCACAAUAUUCUCUAUCGCAACCAAAAGAUCAAAACAUGUAUUAUCACAUAAACAAGAUGAUAUUGAAAUAGAUUUUCUGGAUAAAAUCAUAAUGACUUGAACGGAUAUAAGUCAUGAGACACAUUCAAGUCAAUUAAAAUUAUUUAAAAUAGUAAAGAGAAUGGGAUGUAUGCAGUCAUAAAAAUUUUUUCCUGUAUUUUCAUAAUAACACGCUAAAGGCAAAUGAUCAAGAGACAACCACCAAAUUAACCAACCUGGAAGGAAUCCUCAAAACAGAACAUAAGUUUCAAUUUAAAAUCAAUUUUUUUAAAAAAUAAGCUUUGCGCUCAAAAUGCUACAAAACCAAAAGAUUAUACUAUUUCAAUACUAAAUAAUCACGAAUUUCAUUUAAAAAAAUAAACAUAUCAACCCUCAACCUGUAAGCAUUGAUAACAACACCAAACCUUUACCAUGUGAAAUGACAUGCUUCCCAAGCAAAGGCCUAUGGAACAACAACUAUGCCAAAUCUCGAAGCUCAGCGGUACAUUGUACAGGCAAAAAGAGCCCUUUCCGAGUCUCCAGCCUUGAUUAUUUCAGCCGUUCUCAUAUAAAGGAAGCAAUUUCAAAACCACUACCAGGCAAGCGCAAUAGCAAAAUGUUUACCAUAACAAGAGCAUAACAAACCCUUUAAAAAACUGGAAAAACACUUUAACAGAAAUCUUCAGAAGCGUAAAACAAGCAUAACCCAAUUCCUCGUAGAGACAAGUAGAGAUCUAAUCUAGUCAAUCACUGGAUCGUAAAAAGCAAACCAAAUUGACCCAUGAAGAUUCAAUCAGCUAGAAGUUAAAUAAGCACGAGUGUUUAUGAAUACAUUACAGAGAUUGGAAGGAAUUACCUCCAGAUGCGAAGGCCACUAGAUGUACUGGGUGCCGCAAAGAACCCUAGAAGGGUUUAGCUAGGCAUUUUAUAUCGUUCUCGAAUGAAAUCCAACGGCUGCAAUUAGCGUCCAAUUGGUAAUUGUCGUCCGUUGGAUACGUAAAUUGGAUUAGGGUUAGGGUUUUCUGAGAAGAGCAGCCAUGGAAAAUAAUAUAUGGGCUUAGAAUAGAGAAAGCCCACUGAACCGCUGUUUGAUCUAGUCCAAUACUAUCUAAAUUGGGCUGAGUUUCUGAAAAUUAAUGGAACCACUUGGAUUUUUUUUUAAUAUAUUUUUUCCAUAAUAAACUUUUUUUAAUUUAUUUUUUGGAUAAAAUUAAUUGAUUGAAAUUAAAAAAAUCGAUUAAAUUAAAUUAAUUUAAAAUUUUAGUUUAAUUUUUUAUUCAUUUUAAUUCGAUUCGAUUUUUAAUUUUAAAAAUUUCGAUUAUUUCGAUUUGGAUUAUAAAAAAUUGAAAAAACUAAAUCGAAUCGAUUAAUGAUAAUAGUAUAUUAUUUUAAUAAUAUAGAGAGAUUAAAUCAUAUUAAAAUUAAAAUAUUCUAAUUAAAUUUUAAAAUAUUAAAAGUAAAGUGUAUAAAAUAAAAAUUUAUUAAAAAUUUAAACCGAUCAAAUCGAUUUAAUUCGAUUUGAUUUUUAAUUAAAAUCGAUUUAAUUUAAUUUUUAUAAAUACUAAAAUUUUAAUUUUCAAUUUAUUUAAUUUGAUUUGAUUUUAAACUGAAUCGAUCCCAUAAGAAAAUGAAAUUAUGCGUUGAGCAUCUAAAACUAAGUGGUGGCAUUAUAUUAAUAGAAUAAUAAUUAUUAAUAUUAAAUAAAAAAAUAUUUUAAAUUAUAGUGAGAGAUUUGUGACAAUGAUUUGUAAAAGAUAGAGAGUGGACAAAGGCACUUGAAAAUGAGAUGGAGUUCCACCAAAUAUCAAGCUAAGAUCAAUCUCAUGAUGUCAAAUGGGCCAUCAUCUAAAAGAAAUCUAGUCAUGUCACCAAAGACUUCAAAUUUUUAAAUUAAAAUAUUUCAAAUCUUUUAACUAUCUGCUAAUAGAUACGACGAAUGAGAUUCUAUUUUAACAUAAAAUUAAAGAAAAAUUAUUUUUUAGUCUCUGAGAUAUAGUGUAAUUAACGGAUUCAUUCUUCUAUUUUUAGAAUCCAAUAUUUUCGUCCCUGAGAUUUAAUUUCGUUAAAAUUUAAUGUCUCUCGUCAAAAAUUUCUGUUAAGUCAAUGAUUUUCACCUGGUGAAAGAGAAUAAAUAUAAUUUCAAAAAUAUCAUUAUCAAUAAUAAAAUGAAAAAAAUACUAUUUAGUCCCUAUAAUAUGAAAAAAUUCACUAUUUAAUCCCUUAAUUUUGAAAAAUAUAUUAAAAUGUUCCUAACAUUUUAAAAAGUCUACUAGUUAGUUCCUCUAUUAAUUUUAUCACUAAAUAUUUUACUAUUUAGUCCCUAUAGUUUAGAAAAAAAAUUAAUUAACCCCUCAAAUUAUUAAAAAAUUUACUAAUUAGUCACUCCAUAUCAUGGGAAUUUUAGAUUUUUUUAUAAUACUUAACGACUAAAGUUAACGGAAAGACUAACUAGUAAAUUUUUUAAAAUAUCAGAGACAUUUUAAUGAAUUUUUAAAAUGGCGAGCAGUGAUCGAUGACGAACAAUAUCACAAAAAAUAUUUAUAUUGAGUUUUAACUUUGUAUUUUUAAUAAUUUAAAUUUUAUAUAUUUUGAUUUUUAUUAUUUUUGCUGAAUUUGAAUCUUAAAUUUAUUAAAAUUUUUAUUUGUUUAUAGAGAUUGAGUUUGAGAUUUUCUUCCUUGAAUUUUGACGAAAUUAAACUUUAGGGACUAAAAUGUUGAAUUCAAAAAAAUAGAGGGACAAAUAUGUUAAUUAUGUAAUAUCUUAGGGACAAAAAUGUAUUUUUUCCUUCAAUUCUUUGAGAGAGGGACCUAUAAAUUUGUAGGAAUUAAAUUUUAGGAACUAAAGUAUUGAGUUCUAAAAAGGGUAAUUCGGUCAUUUUUCCUAUCACUAACGGCAUUUUUGAUGGAGGGACCUCUAAUUUUGACGGAAUUAAACCUCAGGAACGAAAGUAUUGGGCUCUAAAAAUAGAGGGACGAAUAUAUUAAUUACGCUAUACCUCAUAGACUAAAAAGUAAUUUUCUCUAAAAUUAAUUAUAGAUUUUGAAAUAAAAAUUAGUCAAAUCACAUAUUAAUUUUUAUAUAAUUUUUUUAAAUAUAAAAAUAGUAAUAUCUCAAAUUUAAAUUUUCUUAUCUAUUCAUUAUUUUGAUAUAUUUAUUUUAAUAUUAAUAAUGAUGUAUAAUAAUAUAUUUUAAUAAAAAAAUAUAAAAAAAUAUUAUAUCGUUUCAUUAAUUUUUUAUUUCAAUAUUUUAUAGUUUAAUUUGUAUCACAGUUAUUUUUCGUGAUAUCACACUGUUAUAAAUAGUAAUAACUGCAAAUAUUAUGAGAAAAAUAUUGAUAAAAAAAUUAAAUAUUAUUUUAACAGAAAUAAAAUUACAACUUAAAAAUGAAAAAUUAAUAAAAUUAUGAAAUUUUUUUAUUUUUGUAUUCAAAAUAUUAAUUAAUAAUUAUAUUUUAUAUAUUACAUCAAUAUUUUUUAAUUAUAUCUAAAAAUUAUCGAUAUUUAUUAAUAAUAUAAUAUUUUUUAGUCGUUGUGGUAUGUUAACAGUGGCUUAUCUUAUAUAUAAAUAUAUUGGGAAAAUCCAAGUAAUGUUGAUUAAGUGUUAAAUUAAGCAAAAGGUGAGGUCUUCAAUAAAUUAUAAAAUAGAAGACAUUCGUGCAUGUGACUUUUGCUUAUGUAUUUGUCAACUUUUACAUGAAGUAUAGAAGAAGUUUAAUUAGCUUAGAUUUAAAAAUUUUGCAUAAUUUAAAAACAGAAUCCAACCAAGAUAUCAUCUUCUAAAGUGAUAUUCAUAUGAUGUGAAUGAAUGUUUUCUAAUGUAACCAAAUGUAACGGUCAGCGGUGUAUUUUCUUUCUGGAAACCGUUCAAUAUCAAAAAAUAAUAAAAAAUCAAAAUUAUAUAUGAUAGAUCGUAUAAAAUUAUUAAAUAAUUUUGAUUAAUCAUUUUGGGCUAAAUGGAAAAUGAAUUUAAAAGUUAUUUGAGUCAAUUUAGACUAAACUGUUUCAAUUGGUAUCAGAGUCACUUUAGAUCAGAUAAAUUAUUCAGAAUUAGUGGAUCUGUGAAAAAAACAAUACUCGAGGAUCCGGUCUUGGUUAGUAAUCGUAACCCAUUCAUUUACAAUGAGAAUAUCACAAAUUUAGCGGAAUCGAGUGUAACAGUCAGCUCUGCUUCUGCUGCGAAAGCCAUACCACAUCGGCAGAUAAUAAAAAAUCAAAAUUAUAUAUAAUAAUUAGCACGAANNNNNNNNNNNNNNNNNNNNNNNNNNNNNNNNNNNNNNNNNNNNNNNNNNNNNNNNNNNNNNNNNNNNNNNNNNNNNNNNNNNNNNNNNNNNNNNNNNNNNNNNNNNNNNNNNNNNNNNNNNNNNNNNNNNNNNNNNNNNNNNNNNNNNNNNNNNNNNNNNNNNNNNNNNNNNNNNNNNNNNNNNNNNNNNNNNNNNNNNNNNNNNNNNNNNNNNNNNNNNNNNNNNNNNNNNNNNNNNNNNNNNNNNNNNNNNNNNNNNNNNNNNNNNNNNNNNNNNNNNNNNNNNNNNNNNNNNNNNNNNNNNNNNNNNNNNNNNNNNNNNNNNNNNNNNNNNNNNNNNNNNNNNNNNNNNNNNNNNNNNNNNNNNNNNNNNNNNNNNNNNNNNNNNNNNNNNNNNNNNNNNNNNNNNNNNNNNNNNNNNNNNNNNNNNNNNNNNNNNNNNNNNNNNNNNNNNNNNNNNNNNNNNNNNNNNNNNNNNNNNNNNNNNNNNNNNNNNNNNNNNNNNNNNNNNNNNNNNNNNNNNNNNNNNNNNNNNNNNNNNNNNNNNNNNNNNNNNNNNNNNNNNNNNNNNNNNNNNNNNNNNNNNNNNNNNNNNNNNNNNNNNNNNNNNNNNNNNNNNNNNNNNNNNNNNNNNNNNNNNNNNNNNNNNNNNNNNNNNNNNNNNNNNNNNNNNNNNNNNNNNNNNNNNNNNNNNNNNNNNNNNNNNNNNNNNNNNNNNNNNNNNNNNNNNNNNNNNNNNNNNNNNNNNNNNNNNNNNNNNNNNNNNNNNNNNNNNNNNNNNNNNNNNNNNNNNNNNNNNNNNNNNNNNNNNNNNNNNNNNNNNNNNNNNNNNNNNNNNNNNNNNNNNNNNNNNNNNNNNNNNNNNAAUGAGUGUGACUUUAGAGGAUCCAUUGCUUCUUGGCUGAGUAGACAAGGAUAGUGGAGAAUGGAGAAGCUUUUUUCGUAGCCGGCAGGCUGACGUGGAGGCACUUUCCUCCAAGAUAAUUGGAGCGUUUCAUACACGCGCCAUGCAUAUGUAUCAUGCAGUAUUUUUUGGAGCAUGCAUUACUUUGCUAUUCACCCUAAGUGUGGUGUCUAAAUAUAGGAAUACAGCAAAUGGUUGUACUAAAAAUAAAUAAAUAUGAAGGAAAAAAAAUAAAAAAAAGGAAAAGAAAACAUAGUAUUGCUCUUUUCUGUUUGGUGGAAGGGAAAAUAUUUGCUCUACAGACAGAACUUUUGAUUCAUGUCAUUGAGAUAUGAGAGGAAUGAUUUUCUUUUUUACCCUUGUAGUUUUUACUGAGGAGUAUAUAGUGGCAAACAGUAUCAUAUAUCAUCAAAUUUAGAGGAAAAAAAUCAUUUUGUUUAAGACUUAUACUUUAUUUGGUAUUAUUAAUAGAGUAGUGGUUGAGAAAAAGAGUGCUCCCAUUGGUUGAGACUACUACUCUUGAAGUUGAUUGGAUUGCAUUCAUUGAUUGUGCAGUCUUUGUUAAUGCUUAUUUAUUCGGUUUUGCAGCAGUAUUUGAGAACUUGAAAGACUUCUUUUCCAUUGCAAUUUCGGAUUUUUAUGAGGGGAGUGGGUAACCUGUUAAGUUUUGGCCUUGCGUCAAUAUUUAUCUUAUGUUAGAGAUUGUUUUCUUCAGACUGAUUGUAUUUUUACGGAUAACCAAUCCUUAGUAUUGGCUAUUCGCUCUCCUCUGGAUGACUUUUCGGAAUUUGAAUUAGUUGUUUCUAAUUGUAAGGAUGUUAUGCGGUCUCAUGGUAAUAUUCAUAUUCGUUGGGUAUGGCGUUCAGAAAAUAGAGCCACCCAUUUAUUAGCUAGAGAGUCUAUUCAUCAUAGUAGAUUUAAGAUUUGGAUUGACAUUCUUAAUGGUCUCUUGGAUUAUUAUCCUACAAGUCUUUCUUAAUUAAAAAAAAAAAAUAAAAUUGAUUGAAAAUUAUUUUUAAUAUAAUUUAAUUAUAAGAAUACAAUAAAGUUGAGACAUAUGUAACUAUCAUAUCAUAAUAUAAGAGAAAAAAAUAAAUAUAAAAAUUUUAAAUAAUUUCACUAUAAUAUCUCUCGACAAAAUAAAAAUAAAAUUUUAUUAGCGUGUGAUCUAAUUUAUUUAAAUUCUUAAAUUUUAAUCUCAAUCACUUUAUUUAAAAAAUGGUUGAUUUGAUAUGAUGUGAAUUUAAAUGAAUUGAAUUUUUUUUAUAAUUUAAGAAUUUAAUCUAUAAAAAAAUAUAUUUAAAAUUUAAAUUACGCUAUAUAAUUAAUAAAUAUAUAAGUAACUCAUUGGUAAGUGUAUAUGAAUAAAUUUAAAAGGUCUUAAAUUCUACUUUUUCAAUCUCUAAACUCCGAUACUCAUUUUAGAAGAAAAAAAUUAACAAAUGUCAAAGUAAUAAAAUAAUUUUUUCCAAAUUAUUUUUGUCUAACAUCUAGAAUGAUAUUUCCUGCUUUUCCAGGUAAGUAAUAAAGAUCAAGAUUACUUAAUCAAAAGAAAAACCUUUUUUUUCUGAGAUGAAUAAUGCAACUGCCAGAGAAAGCAAGCCAUAAACUGUGAGGCUGUGAGAUCUAAAGCUUCAUUUAAUUAUAAUUCCUGAAGAAAGAUAAGAAAGAAUCAGGUUCUCUCCUUCCUUCUUUGUACUAUGUAGUAUACAUGCAUGGACAUGGUUCCAGUUUAUGGCAGAAAGUCACCCAUUUUCUCUUUUAUUUUUCUUUCCUAAUUCUUUUCUCAUUCUUUUUUUUUUCAAAAAAAGAAUUAUCUGCAGUGCAUUUCAAAGGACUGUUUAGAUUCGGUUAAAAAUUUUAAUUAAUAUCGUUUAAUUAAAAUGAAAUAAGAGAAAAAAUAAAUUAAAAAAUGAAAAUUUUUAUUUAAAUUUUUUAAAAAUUAAAAAGUGAGUUUCUAAUAGAUAACGAAACUGUUUAUAAUAUAAACAAAAUUUUAAUAUGUAAAAUUAUAAAAAUAUUUAAAAUAUCUAAAAAAAUAAUUAAAAUAUAAAAUUGACUUUCUAAACGAUAAAAUUUUUAUAUUAAUUUUUAUCACACUUUUAAAAGUCUGCGUCUUGAAAUUUUCUUUUCAAAAAAUUAUCAUGGAUUCCCAUAAGAUGUUAGCAACAAAAAGUUAAGUUCGAUUUAAAUUUGCAAUAACAUUUAGGACUAAUUGCUAUAUGUCACACUCUUUAUUAUUGGAAUUGACAAAAGGAUAAAAAAACAAAAAUUACUCAGAAAAUUAAAUAAAAAUAAUUAAAAAGAUUAGACUUAUAAAUUGCUAAAGAAAUAAACUGAACAUAUAUGAAAAAAAAAUUAAUUAAUAAAUUUUAUUGCAUCACAGAAAUUAAAUAGUUAAUUUUUGGCUUUUGAAGUGAAAGAUGAAAAGCAAAUAAUGUUUGCUUUAACUUUAGAGCAGUCUCUUUAAGACAAUUCCAUUUUAUAGUAAAGCUCAAAUGCAAAUUAAACAUAGACAAGGUGUUGGUCCGAAGGCUGUAAGGGAAAGUUUAUAUAUCAAAAUAGAAAAGCUUCCCUCUUCUAUGCAAUCUAUUCAUACAAACACAAUCAUACACUGAUCAUUCAAACUAUUAUCUCUGUCUUUUUAUUUCUCAUUUUGAUAGCUUUUUUUUUUUUAAAUAAAUAAAUGAUGUUUUAUGAUUUCAUUAUUUUAUUAAAUAUUUUAUUUUCUGAUUUAAUACUCUUUAAUAAGUGAAAUAUUUUUAAAUAUUAAUUCAUUACCUUUAUUCUAUUUAUAUAUGUAUUUUAAUUAAGAGUAAUAUAGUAUUUUUUAUCUAUUUUUAUUAAAAUUAAAUAUAGUUAUUUCUUUUUUAAUUCAUAUGAAAAAACUUAAAAAGACAAAAAAAAAAAAAGAAAAGAAAAGAAAGAGUAUACAAAAUCGCACAAAAAUUAUUUAUUGAAGGGGUGUAACACAUUUACUCUCAAGAUGGUUCAUAAAAUUCUAAUAGAAGAAAAAUGAGUUCGUAUUAUCGGUCUCACUUAUUUAAAAUAUUUAUGAUUCACUUUAAUUCAUAAUAAAUUGUAUUAUCGAUCUCACUUAUUUAAAAUAUUUACGACUCACUUUAAUUCAUAAUAAAUUGUAAUAGUUAGAGGUUAGUAUUCGAUUCAAACUGAAAAAAAUUAAAUUAAUUUAAAAAUUUGAUUCGAUUUUUUAUUUAUUUCAAUUCGGUUCGAUUUUUAAUUUUAAAAAUUUUGAUUGUUUCAAUUUGAUUUAAUUUUAAUUAAAAAAUUAAAAAAACUAAAUCGAUUAGUAAUAAUAAUAUAUUAUUUUUAAUAAUAUAGAGAGAUUAGAUUUAUGUAAAAAAUAAAAAAUUUAUUAAAAAUUUAAAUCGAUCAAACCAAAUUAAAUUGAAUUAAAUCAAUUCAAUUUGAUUUGAUUUCUGAUCAAAAUCGAUUCUGUUCGAUUUUCAUAAAUACUAAAAUUUUAAUUUUCAAUUUGUUCGAUUUGGUUUAAUUUUGAUCCGAACCUCACCCCUAGUAAUAGUCAUUGCAAAAAUCAGGGGAUACAUUUAUGGUUGGCAUUUAUCAAAAGCAACAGAACAAUGCAGCAAUUUUAAAUGAUUGAAAGUGCAAUCCCAAGUCCAACAUCUCUCAUUCAAAGCAAUAAAGAGACAUCCUUUGAUUAAAGCUAAAGGGCAUUUUCGUCAUAUGAAUAAAGAAAUAAAGAGAAAGAAAGAGCAGCAGCAGCAUCCAACUUUACUUUUUCUCCCCCUACACUCUCAACUUUAAAUUUCUGUUAUCCAACGGCUUUAUUAAUUUCAUUUCUUUAAAUACAUAGUUACUAUUCCUUAAAAUUAAAUAUUUUUCCUUUCUCUUCCUUCUCUUUACUUGUUAAAUAUAAAUAAAAGAAAGUGAAGGAAAAGAAUGAACGGAAAAGAGAAGUAAAGGGGAGGCUUAGCUUCUUCCUUCUACUUGACGACUCUUUCUGUGAAGAUGUUUGGUUCUUUAAGCCCAUGCACACUUGAAGUUUCUCAGAUUCCCUUCACUUUUCCUUCUUUUGUAGAAAAUCCAUCGAUACCCAAGUGCUUAAAUCCCUUUGUCUUUGCUUCAAAUCCUUCCAAAUUCAAUUCCCCAGAGUAAAUUUUAAACAAAAUAUGGUCCCCUUCAUUGCUUUAACUCUCCUGUCUCUUCUAAGCUCUUCUUGUUCUUCUUCUUUAGUCAAUGAUUUUAACGUUUUAAUCGUGCUUAAACAAGGAUUUGCAUUCCCUGAACCAGUCUUGAGCACGUGGAAUUCGUUGAAUUCAAGCUCAGUUUGCUCUUGGGCUGGAGUUGGUUGCUCUCGUGGGCGAGUUGUGUCAUUGGACUUAACAGAUUUGAAUUUGUCAGGUUCUGUUUCACCUCAGAUUUCAAGGCUUGAUAAGCUCUCAAACUUAUCUCUUGCAGGGAACAACUUCACUGGUAUUAUUGAGAUUUUCAGGUUGAGUAAUCUUCGGUUUCUUAACAUCUCAAACAAUCAGUUCAAUGGUGGUUUGGAUUGGAACUAUUCAGAAAUGGAAAACUUAGAAGUGUUUGAUGCUUACAACAAUAACUUCACUGCCUUUCUUCCUCUUGGGAUUUUGAGCUUGAAGAAACUCAAGUACUUGGAUCUUGGUGGAAACUAUUUUUAUGGCAAAAUCCCUGCAAGCUACGGGGAACUGGUGGGAUUGGAGUAUCUUUCACUUGCAGGAAAUGAUCUUCAUGGAAAAAUCCCUGGCGAGUUAGGAAACUUAACUAACUUGAGGGAGAUUUACUUGGGGUAUUACAAUGUUUUUGAAGGUGGGAUUCCUGCAGAGUUUGGAAAUUUUGUGAAUCUAGUUCACAUGAAUUUACCAGAAUGUGAGCUAGAUGGUUCAAUUCCAAGGGAGCUUGGAAACCUGAAGCUGCUCGAUACUCUAUAUUUGCACGCCAAUCAUUUUUCAGGUUCUAUUCCAAAGGAGUUAGGCAACCUGACAAACUUAGUGAAUCUUGAUCUUUCCAACAAUGCACUCUCUGGUGAAAUCCCAUUUGAGUUCAUCAACCUCAAGCAAUUGAAGCUCUUCAAUCUCUUCUUGAAUAGACUACACGGUUCCAUUCCUGAGUUCAUCACGGAAUUGCCUAAUUUGGAGACAUUGGGGCUAUGGAUGAACAAUUUCACUGGUGAGAUUCCUCAGAAACUUGGCCAAAAUGAGAAGCUUCAGGUUCUUGAUUUGUCCUCAAAUAAGCUCACAGGUACAAUUCCAAAAGACUUGUGUUCCUCUAAUCAGUUGAGGAUUCUAAUUCUCUUGAAGAAUUUUCUGUUUGGUCCAAUUCCUGAAGGUUUGGGGAAAUGUUAUAGUCUCACUAGAGUGAGGUUGGGGCAGAACUACUUGAAUGGCAGCAUACCAAAUGGCUUCAUUUACUUGCCUCAGUUGAAUUUAUUAGAGUUGCAGAACAAUGUCUUGUCAGGAAAAUUAUCAGAGAAUGGUGAUAGUUCAUCUAAACCUGUUAAAUUAGGCCAAAUCAAUUUGUCAAACAAUCUCCUCUCAGGUUCUUUGCCAUUUUCGCUUUCCAAUUUCUCUUCCCUUCAAAUCCUUCUGCUCAGUGGAAAUCAAUUCUCAGGUCCAAUUCCACCUUCCAUAGGAGAACUCAAUCAAGUUCUAAUGCUUGAUCUUAGUGGAAAUUCACUUUCAGGUUCAAUUCCACCUGAAAUAGGAAACUGUUUCCAUCUCACUUCCCUUGACAUGAGCCAGAACAAUCUCUCUGGUUCAGUUCCACCAGAGAUAUCCAACAUUCAUAUCUUGAAUUACUUGAACUUGUCUAGAAAUCAUUUGAACCAAACAAUACCAAAAUCCAUUGGUUCCAUGAAAAGCCUAACUGUUGCUGAUUUCUCUUUCAAUGAUUUCUCCGGGAAGGUGCCGCAAUCCGGUCAGUUUUCCCUCUUUAAUGCCUCAUCUUUUGCAGGAAAUCCUCAACUCUGUGGUCCUCUCCUUAACAAUCCUUGCAAUUCCACCGCCAUCACAAACACACCAGGAAAAGCCCCCAGUGAUUUCAAGCUCAUUUUCGCUUUAGGCCUGCUUAUAUGCUCUCUGAUAUUUGCAACUGCUGCAAUAAUCAAGGCCAAGUCUUUCAAGAAAAACAGCUCAGAUUCUUGGAAGCUGACAGCUUUUCAAAAGCUAGAAUUCUCUGUCACAGACAUCCUGGAAUGUGUGAAAGAUGGAAAUGUAAUUGGCAGGGGAGGAGCUGGGAUUGUAUACCAUGGAAAAAUGCCAAAUGGGGUUGAAAUUGCAGUUAAAAAACUACUUGGUUUUGGCACCAAUAGCCAUGACCAUGGCUUUAGAGCAGAAAUUCAAACACUAGGCAACAUUAGACAUCGAAACAUCGUUAGAUUGCUUGCUUUCUGCUCUAACAAAGAAACCAAAUUGCUGGUUUAUGAAUACAUGAGAAAUGGAAGCUUAGGAGAAGCCUUACAUGGCAAAAAAGGUUCUUUCUUGACUUGGAAUUUGAGGUACAAAAUUGCCAUUGAGGCUGCUAAAGGCCUAUGCUACCUCCACCAUGAUUGCUCACCAUUGAUUGUUCAUCGAGAUGUAAAAUCCAAUAACAUUCUGUUGAAUUCGAGCUUCGAAGCACACGUAGCAGAUUUUGGAUUAGCAAAGUUCCUUGUUGAUGGGGGAGCAUCAGAAUGUAUGUCAGCAAUUGCAGGGUCUUAUGGCUACAUUGCACCUGGUAAGUUCAUUUUCUCAUACAUUAGAAAUGCUUGCUUUCUAUUUUGUGCACAAGUAUACUUAAUGUCUCCUGAAACACACCCUUCAUGAGCUGCGAACAUGCUAAAAAAGUAAAGCGGCUAACAGCCGUAAUAGAUAUUUCAAUACUCAAAUCAGUAUUUAAUUUAAAUGGACGAUAAAUAAUUACCUAGUUAAAUUAAUUAUUUUGAGUCUACGUAAUUUCAAAAAUUCUGUGAACAUCAAGAACUCAAGAUGAACAGCAAUAAUCUGAUGUUCCCAAGGUCCAAGCCACAUAUCUGACUUUUGAUUCCUAGUUUUAUCACAAAACCUUCCAACAAAGUUUUUGAUCCCUGGUAAGUUCUAUUGUACAUGAUACUGUCUCUGCCUCUCUCUCUGUGCUAAAGUGACAGCAGUUAAAUCAAUGACUAGCUCAGUGAAAAACCACCAGCGGUUUGUGCCAAAGAGAGAGGCACGUAGAAUUUUUUUGGUUUUCACAACACAGAAUCACAGAAAGAAAAGAGCUGAUGCACUUUGUUGGGACCCACAAAAAAAAAAAAAUCUGAUAUUGCAAUCUUAGAGGUCUAAAUCUGACACAUAUAGACUACUUUCAGUCUGACAAUGAUUCUAACGUAACAGCACAUUGAGAUUAGUGAAAGCUAACCGACAAUGCACAACUAUUUACAACACUAAUCUUUUUUUGCACUACAUGACUUUGGUCUUACGUGUAAAGUGUACUUUCCUCUUUCUUCUUCUUCCCACCUUCCAGUCUUCUUUGGCAAGUUGACAUCUCUUUUUGUCUCUAACCUUUUACCUAAUUCCAAUGUUUUUUUUAGGCACUUUCCUUAAUCCCAACAUGAAGAGAUGUUGAAAAUUGGACUGUAGUGGUCUUAUGGGCUUAGCCCAAAUUGGGUCGAAUAGACUUUCGAAAUUUGAUCACUACAGAUUUUCAUACGUACUUCGCCAACCCAUCUAAUUUAAUGGGUGGUUGGCAUCAAAGGAACUAAUGGUUUUCUUACAUGUCAUUGCAGAAUAUGCAUACACAUUGAAGGUGGAUGAGAAGAGUGACGUAUAUAGUUUUGGAGUUGUUCUCUUGGAGUUGCUAACAGGACGGCGGCCAGUGGGCGAUUUCGGUGAAGGGGUGGAUAUUGUACAAUGGAGCAAGAGCGUGACAAAUAAUCGGAGGGAAGAUGUGUUGCAAAUUGUUGAUUCAAGACUAACAAUGGUUCCCAAAGAUGAAGUAAUGCAUCUGUUUUUCAUCGCAAUGUUGUGUUGCCAAGAAAAUAGCAUUGAACGCCCCACUAUGAAAGAAAUAGUUCAAAUGUUGUCCGAAUUUCCUCUUCAAUCCUCAAAUUAUCAUUCUUCAUCGUCUUCUAUUGUCUCUCAACAAUUGAAAAUUGCGGAAAAAGAGAAAAUUCAUGCAAAACCCACACAAGAUCUUUUAGUUUAAGAGCUUGAAUAGUUCUUUUUUCCUUAGAAAUUUAAGGUGUCUUUUUAUUGGCUUGAUUUUUGUUAUAGCUUUUCUUUUUUGGUUCCUCUCUUUGUUGAUAUGCAAAGUAUAUUUUCUUUCUAAUUCAUGGGCUUAGAAUUAGGCAUAGGAGAUCUCGUGACCAUAUAGAUAUAGGAAUAAUUUGUGGGUUAGACUUCUUUUUUAAGGAGUGUUCUCUGUAGGUGGAGAGCUUGCAAGCUUUUACUAAUGGUUCAUGCAAGCUCUUUGUAUUAUAUAUAUAUAUAUAUAUACUCUCGUCUCUAUACAAAUGCUAUAUUUGAUUGUUGUCUCUAUACAAAUGUUUUAAAGCAUGCUUGUGUGUAUUUAAUUGACUUUUUACAAAAAAAAUUUCAUUUUUUUUUUUGACAUUUGAAACAUCCAUAAAAUUUAGUCAAAAUAUAUAAAUAAAUCAAAUUAUUCGAUACUCGACUCGAUAAAAGUUCGAACAGUUCUGAUUCAUUUUUGAAAUGAGCCAAAUUCAAACUCAACUUUUUGACUCGUUUAAUAAACGAAUUAAAUUUAAAUUCAGUAGUGUUUAGUUUAGUAGAUACUCUUUUUAUACCUUUAAAAAAUAUCUACAUUCAAUAUCUUUUAAUUUGCUAUUAUUAUUAUUACUACUUUUAUAUGUUUAUAUAUAUACUUUUAUAAUUAUUUUCAUAUUUAAUAUUAUUUAUUUAAUUUUAUAAAUUAAAAUUUUUAUAUAAUUUAAAUCUAAAUUAAUAUAAUUAUAUCGAUAAAGUUUGAGUAUAAUAUAUAUAUAUAUAUAAUUAUAUAAUUUAAGUUGAUUAUUCUUGUAUUUAUUUUUAUAUAAUAUUUUAUAUAUUGUAUUAUAUAUAUAGUAUUUUUUUAUAAUACAAAAUAAUCUAAUAUAAUUAUAUAUUUAAUUAAAAUUAAAUAAUAAUAUAUUAAUAAAUUUAAUAUAAAAAUAUUCAAUAUUAACAAUAAAAUUUAUAUAAUUUUAAUCAAAAUUAUGUAAUUUAAAUAGAAAUACUCUCUCCCUCACUUAGGUAUCAUUCAUACAUAGGAUUAUAUAUUUAUUAUAUAUUUUUUAAUUAAUUUUUUAUAAAAUUUAAUAUAAAUAUUUAAAUAAAUAAUUUUUAAACUCAAUAUUAUAUUGUUAAUAUUAUAUUAAAUACAUUUUAUAUAAUUAAUUAGAAGUUUUAUAAAUAGUAUUUAAUAAAAAAAUAAUAUUUAAAGUUAUAAAUAAAUAAAUAUUGAAACUUUAAAAUGUUUAAUAUUUUGUUAUAUAAUAUUUUUUUUAUUUAAAUAGUAAAAAAAUAAAAAAGAAAAAAAAUAAAUUUCAACAAAACCUAUUUACUGGAAAUGAAACUCAAAAAACCACAGCAAAGAAAGCUCCAAAGCUUUAACCACUAGACCAUAGACCGCUUAUCGCCUAACAAUCCACGUAUGAUGACAUAUGCGUGGGCAAAUUAGUUGCUGAACCAUUUCCCAUCCCACAUCGGAAGUUUACGGGGAUGGAGGGGUAAAGUUUUUCUAUAAAUAAAGAAUUUUCUUUGUUAUUAUUUAAAUUAAGAUUUUAGCCAGAUGGGAUUCUAAAUAAAUUAUAUUUAGUUUUAUUUAAAAUUUCAAAAAAAUUUAAUUUUUUUUUAAAUUAGAUGAUUAACUAAUAAUUUUCGGCUAAAUAAUAAAAUUUUCAAAGAAAUAAAAAGGUGUGUGUCCUUUUCAAUGUGGAAAUGAUUAUAUGGAUAAAUUAAUGUUUACUUUUAUUGACAAAAUGCCUAAUGACAAAAAUCCCACCCACCCACUUGCUAGCCUUCCUGGCUGUGUCAUCAUAUGCUAAGCACUGCUGGAGUUAAUUGCCAUAUUCUUAUUUUGUGAACUGCUGGAGUUUCUUCCUCAUGCUGCCCAAUCGCAUUUUCCUUCUCACUAUGCUUUUGGCCUUCUGCAACCACGUACUCUCUGCAAAUCCAGGCUGAGAUUUGUUGAUUAGCCUCCUUUAUCAGCAAAAAUUACUCUGAUGUCUCUACUGUUUCAACCUUCCCGUCCACCGCCUCCUCAUGCAUAUUUUCCCUUGGCAGAACUGUCAUGAUCGAGAAAUUUUAUGAUACUACUGUAUGUACGUGCAUGGGACUUAACAUGAUCAGUUGGUGAAAGGAUUAAGCCUCAGGUAAAACACAAGCACUCCUUAAAAGCUUUCUUCUGUCAGAAAUCAGAGAUGGUUGCUAAUUAAUAAGGUAAGCAUUAAUUCAAGAUUCUUUCUCAAACAAGUUCCUACCUUGAUUCUUGUCUGAUGUAGUUGCUGUGAAUCUCUGCCAAGAAGAUGACAUUGAGCAUAUUGCGCAGUUGGGGUCGUGUGAUCCUACCAUGGCACCAACAUCACUUGUAAGUGAAAUAUAGAAGUUAAUAUAUAUCGAAGUAUUGUGAUCUAUUUGAUUCUUAUAAUUUUCACAUUUCUAUGCCUAGAUGCUGGUAGAGCUGCAAGAAAUUGCAACUAUUUGUAAGAAGAGAAAUAAUUGAAUGGGCAAAAUAAUUAAAAAAAAAUUUCUAUUUGAUAUUCUAAAAUUCAGAAAAUAGAGUUUACCGAAUGUAAACUUAGUCGGGGAGAAUUACGUUAUUCCUUCUUUUUUAUUCUCUAGUAACACAUAACCGCCACCCAGAUAUAACGGAUGAGUCAAAGUAUCCCUCUAUACCAGGUGGCUAUUUAAUUCCUCCCGGUAGGCUGCGAGGUGAUUGGGUUUGCUUCCCUUCGUGCGUGAUCAGUCCAAUUCACUUCACAUUAUAGGAAUGUUGGGCCGACCUACGUACAUGUGGUUUGAUAGGUUAUUCUUUUUCAGAGUUCAAUCUCGUCCCAAAAUGUGAGAAAUUCGGCGGUCAUCACUAUUUAAUCCCUAUAUUAUAAAAAAAUUCAUUGGUCAGUUUAUUGAUUUUAAAAAGUAAAUUAAAAUAUUUCUGAAGUUUUUAAAAGUAUAUUCAUUAAUACCUCUAUUAUUUUAUUAUUUUGUGUUAAAAAAAAUUUCAAAUAUUCUAAUACGAAAAGAUUAAUUAGUAAAUAUUUUUAUAAAACAAAAUCAACUAUUAAUAAUUUUUUUAAUGAAGAAAAUAAUUAAAAUAAUUAAUUAAUAGAUUUUUACAAUACCUCAUAAAUGUUUUAAUAUAUUUUUUAAAAUAAAAAAUCAACUGAUUAAAUUUUUCCAAACCAAAUAAACUAAACAGUGAAUUUUUCAAUAAUAAAUUAACAUACAUGGUGAGUAGGGUUAAGUAAUUGGAGAGAGAGAAUUAUAAAGAGAAACCAGGAAGAGAAAGAGAGAGAUUUAGAUUGAGUGCUGAGGCCUUCUCUUCCAAUUCCAUUUCCUUUUCUUCCUCCUCAUAAUCUAUGAUCCUUCUCUUAAUGUUGUUAUGUGGGUGACACAAGAGACUUAAAAAAUCAUGGCAGUUGUCCAAUCUUUGAAGUGGAGGUUGCUGUUCCUCAUCAUUUCUGCUUCUCUUUUUAUUUCUACUGUAUAUUGGAUGGAUCCCACACCCAAUAAUCUCCACUAAAUUUUCAUCAGUGGAGUGAAAUGAAGCCUCAACGAAACACUCUUCAUCAACAGAUUGAAGCUUAUUAUCACUGAACCAAAGCACUGCGUGUUCUGAUGAAUACUUAAAAUAAGACAGACGAUAACCAAAUAGAAAGAAAUCAUGGCUAUGUCUUUGUCCAGAUUUGCCCAUCAAAACCAUUCUGCAUGUGAUGCCCUUUCGAAGAUCAAAAUAAUAAUUUGUGGGAUCAACAACAGCUGUGGGAAUCACUGCGCAGAAAGAGAAGGCAAUUAAACGACAAGGGUCGAGUUUGAAUGAAAGAGAUGAUCCACUUCUGUUCUUGAAUCUCAUCGUUUCUGGUAUUUCACUUCCUGCCAUGUAUAAACUCGCUUUCUGACCCAACAGAUGUGCUUCAAAAACAUCCUCCAUUACUUUCUUCUUGUGUUUCAAAUUGAUGCAAUCUCCAAACACAAGAAAUUUGUCGUUUGCAAAAUAAUCUUCAUCUUCACUUUUAUCUGCUUCUUCUUCUUCUGCUUCACCAUCUUCAUCUUCAUCUUCAUCUUCAUGUUCUAGGAAAAGGAAUGAAGUUGAUGCAGAUUCCAGAGAGAUACAGUCUGAUGCGUUCACGUAUUCCAAACGUGGUGGAAGCUCUGGUAACCAUUUAAGGCUCUUGCAACCUGUUAAAUUAAGCCGUCUUAACUUUGUGAGUUGCUUGAUACUUUCUGGAAGACUUUGUAACUUUGAGCAUCCACAUAGAAAAAGCUCUUCAAGACGUUUUAAUUUGCCAAUGGUGCUUGGAAGAUUCACAAGUCUUGUACACCAAAUCAAGGACAGAUUGAAAAGUUGACGCAGAUGUUCAAUUGAUGAAGGCAGUUGUUGUAUUCCAGUUUCAUCUAAUUUUAGUUGAGUAAGCUUGCUCAGAUUCUGAAGAGAUGAGGGAAUCUCAACUAAACUUCUACAUCCCAUCAAAAAUAAGUACUCAAGAUUUGAGGCACUGGCAGACAAGUCUGGAAUCCUCAUCAGAUCCUCAGAAUAGCUGAGGUCUAUCAAUUUCAGAUUUCCAAGUGGCUGUGUAACAAAAGAGAAAAUAUCAACAAUUAGAAUUAACAAAUUAAAUUUACAAUUAUAGUAGUGUUAUGAACUCUACUACCUUUUCUUCAUUCCACAAUUCUAUGAGUUUGCUAGAACGCAUAUGAAGUUGCACAAGAUUCCUGGGGCAAAAAUUUAAUGGCAAAGAUGUUAAAGGAUAAUGAUUCCAGUAAAGAUAUCUUAGCUUCUGUGGAAGAAAUUCAAGGUCAUUAGGAAGAAGCACUUGUCCUCCAUUGUAACACUGAAUUUUGAGGAAUCUAAGAUUGCACAUCCUCAUGAAGGCUGUGGAACUUAUCACCAACUUAUCCUUCUUAUGCAUGUCAAGCAAUAUGCCUUCAACAUUUUCAGUUCCCUGAUAAAAUAACAGCAACAUUUUCAUGGAAAUUCAAAUAUGAAAAAUGGAAGAAGGUUUUAUUGAUUAAUUCAGUACUUACUGUAUCUGUUGUCAACACAUGAUGAACAUCUUCAUAAUUCCACAACCUGCUACGUCCACCAGGUUGUUUGCUUUCUUCAUUAACAAUAUCCUUACAAAGUUGCUCUAGCAAAUCAUGCAUAUCCACUUCAUUGAUUGAUGAAAUGCUUAUGAGAGAUUUACUAAUCAGCCGAGGAAUUGCACUUUUCGGGAAGAAACCAAAAGCUUCCAACGUUUUCUUCACAGAAUAUAUAUUCUCCCAUUUGAAGAAACAUGCAACGUCAAGAAAUAUUUUCUUCUCAUUCUUCUCUAACCCAUCAUAGCUUGUUCUCAUAAUAUCUUGAAUUUUUCUCAGAGAUCCACCUUUCAAUUUUUUCAACUCACUUUUCCAUUCUUCUAUCUCCAUAUCAAAUAAAUGAGAUCCCAAAACUGUAAGAGCUAAUGGGUUGCCUCCUGCAUAGGAGAUUGCUUUAAUGGAAAGCUCCAUGAAUCCUUCCUUGGGAUGAUUUUGCUUGAAUGCAUGCAUGCAAAAGAGUUUAAGAUCUUCAGAAUCUGUUAAUUUAUCAACUUCAUAUAUGCAUUCUUUUGUAGUGACAUUCUUAAGAACCUGCCAAUCUCUGCUAGUUACAAUGAUUCUACUUCCUUCAUGAUACAAACUGCAAUCUCCUGCUAAUCUUUUCAAAUGAUUUGGAUCAUCUACAUCAUCAAACACUAUGAAUAUUUUCUUGCUUUGGAGCCUUCUCCUAAUAAAAGAAUUUAAAUCCAAUAUGUCUUCAUGGAAAUUUUUUUGUCUUAACAGUCGACAAAUGAUUUGAUCUCGGACAUCGAUCGUUGGUUGCUUCAACAUGGUCUCCCUGACCUUCUCGACGAAGCAAUGGCUGUCGAAACUAGUGAUGUUUCGGCGGAAUACUUCCUGGGCAAUUGUUGUUUUACCAAUGCCUCCCAUUCCCCAUAUUCCUACAACUUGCUUGUCGUGUAAUAAUUUUUCUACUUUUUUUACUCGUGAUUCAAUUCCAACCAAAUUGCCAUCGUAAGAAUCAUCCUUUGAAGACAUAUGACUAAAUUUCUUCGUAACAUCGUUAACGAUUUCUUCUACUAAUUUAGAUUCGUACCUAAUCACAUUUAAACAAUAAAUUAUCAUAAAUAACAAUAAGUUCUAUUUUUUAAUUUAUAAUUAACUUCAUAUAAAUUAGUGAUAAUUUUUAAUAUGAUUUAAAUUUUUAUAAAUUAAAAUAAAUAAAUAAAAUUUGCAGAAAAAUUCUAUAGAUUUAAAACUAAUUUAUUAUUAAAUCUCUUUCAUGUUAUUUUUUAUCUUUGACUUUUAUUACUUUUAUAAAAUUUUCAAGAAUUCAAUAUUUAAUUUAUACUUUAUAAAUUUUGAAGAUUAAAAUGUUAUAUUUUAUAAAUAUUAAAUUAAUCACUUUUUAUAUUUACUCUCUCUCUAACUCUUUAUCUCUGUUUCUCUUCCCUUAUAUCACCAAAUUUUUUUUUUUAAUCUAUGUAUUAUUGCUUUUUUAUUGGAGGUGAAAAUUUAAUUUAUUCGAUUAAAAAAUUAAAUCGAAUCAAAGAUAUUAAAAGUUAAAAUUUUAGUAUUUAUAAAAUUAAAUUAAUUUUGGACAGAAAUUAAUUUGAAUCAAACUGAUCUGAUUCAAUUCAAUUCGAGUCGGUUUGAUCAGUUGAAUAUUUUAAUAAAUUUUUUAUUUUUUAUAUUUUAUUUUUAGUAUUCUAAAAUUUAAUUAAAAUAUUUCAAUUUUAAUGAUUAUCUAAUCUCUUUUUAAUAAUAUAUUAUUAUUACUAAUCGAUUCGAUUCGAUUUUAUUACAAUUUUUUUAUUAAAAUUAAACUAAAUCAAAAUAAUUAAAAAUUUUAAAAAUAAAAAUUAAAUUGGACCGAAGAAGAUAAAAAAUUAAACUAAAAUUUUAAAUUAAUUUAAUUUAAUUGAUUUUCUAAUUUUGAACCCAACGUAUCAACCAAUACACUCGCUCUCAUCUCUAUGCUUCACCCAAUAUACCAAUUUAUUUAUCUUUCACUGUCUUGGUUGCUCCAUAAUUUUAAUUAAUUUGUUUUACUUUGCUUUAUAGGUUUAAGGUUGGACAGCUUUAUGGAAGACAAUGAUGUGUGAAGCUCAUAUAUUCACAAACUCGAAAUUUUAUUUUAUUUUAUUUUUAUUUGAAUAGUUUUAAUUAAUUUUGAUACUAAAAAAUGUUUAUUUAGAUAUAUUUAAAUGAUAUAAUUUAAUUAUAUAUAUUAAUAAUAAGUCAGGACUUUUUUAGUGACCUAUCAAUUCUAAUACCAAUUAACAUCAAAAUAAGCUUAUUUCGUAUUUUAAUUUAAUAUUUAAAUUUUAAAUAAUUAAUAAUAAUGUUAUUUAACCAAACGGAAUAUCAUUUUAAAUCUCCAGCAUAUAUAAAAUAAAUCUAAAACGACAACAUAUAUAAAAUAAUUAAAAGUAAUAUGGCUUCUAUAAGAUUUUAUAACUGUUAAUGUAAAAUAAAAUCUAUUUAAAUCUAAAUCUCAUAUUUAACAAUUGGAUUAUUUAUCUUUAAAAUUAAAUAUAUCAGUUACCUAUGAUUAAAUAAGAGUUAACAUUAUUUUUACAUAAUUGGGUCGAACCGAAAAUUUUUAGCGAAUAAGUUUAACUUAAUUCGAACUGAAAUUAUUUUAGUCACGUCAAUAAUUUAAAGAAUAAUUAAACUAGGAUUCUGAUUUUGGAAUAAGCUAAGGAAAGAAUGUUUAAAAAGGUGAUCAACUUACUUGACAUCCUGUGAAUCCCAUCCUGAUAAAUUGCUUACUUCCAUCAAAGCAUGUCUCCAAGCAUCCACCUUGUGUAAACGACCUUCAACUUGUUCUCCAUGCACAGAUUUACCAAAUGCCUUCCCAAAAUUCCCAGUCAGCUGCUGAACAUGAGUUGGAUCUACAUGGUAGAAAACUGGCAGGACUAAUUGCCCUAAACUCUCCUUGCAUUCAAGUAUCUUAACAAGCUCAUCUAAGCACCAUGGAGAAUCUGCAUAAUUUUCAGAGAAAAUGACAAUAGAAACACAUGAUUCUUGGAUUAUUUUCAACAGAGAUGGCGAGAUCUCUUCUCCUUUAUGAAGGUUUUCGUCUGUAAAGGCAUGGAUUUGUUUCUGGUGGAAGGCUGUAGAGAGAUGGGAGAGAAACCCAUAUCUGAUUUCGCCUCUAAAAUUAAUAAAAACAUCGUAUUUGCAUGGAGAGGUUGAGGAAGAAGUAGAAGCCAUGAUAAUAAUUGGAAAAAAAAAAAAUAAAGGCAGCUGUGCAACUGUGUUUCUAAAAGAGAGCAAACUACAAGAUUUAUAUUUAAUUUGUGGGAGUUUGGUGAACCAUUGUGAGACAAUGAAUUUAUAAAGACUAGUUUUAGAUAUGAAUUAAACCAAGAAAAGAACAAGAAGAUGACGGGAAACACCAUGUUCCUUGCUUUUAAGUAUAUAUAAAUAUAUAUAUAUAUAUAUAUAUAUAUAUAUAUAUAUAUAUUGAUGACCGUGAACCCAGUCUGAGGUUGAAUAUGAUAGGAGAGUCAGACUCAAAACCCAUCAGAACCUACUAUAUAAGCUGAUCUAUCAGCAUAUCACCCAACCCGCGGAUUAAAGUAGAUCGACCAAGAGUCCGAACUCAUCAUAGAGGAAUCCAGCUCAUCUAACAUGACGAGAGUAGGAGAGCAAGCCCAGUUAUGCCGCUACCCUAUCAACACGAGCGCUGAAAGAGAAUUAAAUGGCUGCGUGACGAUAGCGGGUAGGCAGGUAGCCCGUACGUAAGUGAGUGAUAGGUAGCACUGGAGCAACAUAGCGGUUAUGCAUCACUAGAGAAAAAAAAAAAGAAAAAAAAGAGGAAAACAUGAUCUAUUCAAACUAAGUUUUUUCAUACACAUAGAAAUUCUACUUCUUUUUCGAUCUGAGAUCAUCGUAUAUAUAUUACCCGAGUAUUUAAUAUGAUUAAAUUUUUUCUUUUAAGAAAAUAUUUAUUUGAAUCUGGUUUAUCGUGAACUAAAAUAUUUUCAAAAUAUAAAUGUAAAUCCCUUAAAAAAUAGAUGUAAUUUAUUUUAAUAUUUCUUAAAUUCAUAGCGGAUCGAGUACAUCUAAGAAUUUUUCGUGACUUUAAACUCGAAAACUAUUUAAAAUGUAAUGAGAUAAGUCAAUUUACCUUUCAGUAAAGAUUUAGUUAAUAAUAUAAAUGCAAUAAAGUGAUAUGUAUACAUAUGAUCACUUAGUGCAAAGUAGCUUUUCUUUUCAAUGGCCAUUAUUAUUCUAUUGUAUUUACAUGUAUAUGUAAUUAAGGUUUUUUUUAGGAUAAAUCAAUAUUAAGUGUUUUUGAAUUUUUAAGAAAUUAACUAAUUCAUAUUUUUAAAAUCACUCAAUUAAAACAUAAUUUAUAAAAUAUAAUUUUUUUAAUCAUUCAUUAGAAAAAUAGUUAAUUGUCUUGAAUAUUUAUAUUAUUUUUAUGUAUUAUUUAAUCUCUAUAAUUUUAAAUAUUUUUAUUUGAUAAUAUUAAAACAUAUAAAUUAGUUAUUUAAAAAUUUAAUUUUAUAAAAUAUAUAAAUUAGUUUUAAUAAAGUGAUUCUAAAAUAAAAAUAAACUUAUAAAUUUGAUAGUAAUUCCCUCACUCUCGCCUAAUUUUUUUUUUUAAUUUUCAAGAUUAAAUAUUUAAUUAAAAACAUAAUAUAGAUAUGAAAUAGAAAUAAUAAAAAAACACUUAUAUUAAUAAUUUAAUUAAUAAAUAUUUAUUUCUGCCAUUUGUGUUGGUAGAGUUUUUAAUUUAGUCAAUCAACGACAAUCACACACCAUUUGCUGAUAAUUUAUUACUAUGAUCGAAGAAAACACUCAUCAGUUUAAAAAAAUAAUAGAAAAUGUCAAAAAGGAAAUCUAUUGAUCGAAAAAAAUCAAAAUUUUUCAUCAUUUAAUUUAAAUAUUUAAAAAUUAAUUUUUGGUAAUGAUGGAGUUUUUAAUUUAUCAAUCAAUAACAAUCAAACUGCUUUUGAUGAUAAUUUAUCACUAUAUAAUCAUUCUAUAAAUAAGGAUAAAUUUAAAAAUUUUAAUUUGAAUUAUACUAAUUUUUAAAAAUUUAUAUUAAAUUAUUAAAUAAUUUUUUAUGUAAAUAAAUAUUAUUCGAGUCAAAUAAAAAUAAAAAUAAAAAUAAAAUAUAUAAAUUUUUUGCGUGAGCAAACUACACUCCCCCAAUUUAAAUUUUAAAAGUUAAAUAUAAUUACAACAAAACGAAUAUAUUAACUUUUAGAUAUUUAAUUUAAAUUGAAAUAUUAAAAAAUUUUAAAUUUUCUAAAUAAAUUGGCCUAGAUGGAAAAAAAAAAAGAAACUUUUUUAGAUUUGUUUGAUUUAUUAUAUGACAAGUUGAGAAUGAGAAAUAAGAAAUUUCAAUUUACAAUCUUAAUGUUGAAGGUUCAACCAUUGACAUGGUAGCUAAUUAGUUAACAAAAAGCUUUUUUAAAAAUUUUUUUUCUUCCACUAUGGUCUUUCCACCAUGGUAAAUUAUUAAUUAAUUUUUUUUUUUUAAAGUGAAUGCAACUUCUUCCACCAUGAUCCUUUCAGUUUUUUAUUAUUAUUAUUUUAUUUUCAGAGAAUGGAGAGUCAAAUCUGAUUCUCUCCCAAUAAUUAUAAUUGGUUACGUCUUAGCCUGUUUGUUUGUAUUUUCCUUAGUGGGGUAUGCAUGCUUCUUCAAGUUUCCAACCCAACUGAAAAUUAUUAUUACGUUUAUAAAUUUUUGAAAAUUUAUUAAUUUAUUUUUAUUGUAAAGUUAUUCAAUUCAAAUAUUUAUGUAAAAUUAAACUUUUUAAUUAUAUUGAUUCGCACUCACAUACUUAGAUACGUACAGGUACGUACAGAUCCCAAUUUAGAUGGUACGUACAGAUCCCAGCUUCUACUCCUCUAAUCUUCAAUCCCUAAUUUCCAUUUCAAAAAAAAAUUAUAUUGAUUGAUUCAUUUGCAGAUUCGAUUAUGGAAAGCCCCCUCUAAUCUCCAAUCCCUAAUCUCCAUUUCGAAAAAAAUUAUGUUGAUCGAUUCAUUUGAAGAUUCGAUUAUGGAAAGCCCUUCAAAGUUUUAAAAUAAAUUAAAUAAACCCAUUAAUAUAUAUAAAAAAAAAAAUUAUAUCUUUUAUUCUAGUUAUGUCUCUCCAUCUAUGACUAAUAUCCUUUACCUCUUUUUUUUUUUUUUUCUGUACCUACUCAUCUCUUAUUAAAAUAAUUAAAAUCAGGUCAGAUAUGAUCAUAAUUGAAUUUGUGAAAACUGACUGCUAUGAAGAUAAUGGAGCAUUAUCAAUGAAUCCAUGAGAAAAACUUUUUGAAUUAUUUCAUACAUACUGAAUCAUAAAUACGUAAAUACUGAAUCGAUCAAAUGUUCACCAUGGAAGAAUUUGAGAAAGAUAAUAUUAAUACCAUUUUGAUUCAUAUCAAUUGACAAAGUAUCUAUGCAAAUACUGACACUGGAUAUGUUAUCAUUACUCUUUUGGGAAAAAUAUAUAUAAAAAUUAACACAUCCCCAAGAGAUCACUACAGAUGCUGACUAGGUAUUGUAAACAACUCUAUUACAGAGCAAAUUUAUUAUCCUCAGCAGACAAGAACCACCACUUAACUACCAGACUCAGCAUUGAUAACAAGACAAAAUCAUCUUCUCACAAAUCCCACUUAUGAAUUCAUAAUCUUUCUAUAAUCAAAAGAAAAUGCUACAUGAUGAGACUUUUGCCUUAACGAUAGUGGACCAACUUAUUUUAGCAUGAAAUGAUAAAUCUUAAAGAAAUUAAAAAGCAGCUGCCUUUCCUCAUUGGAAGACUUGAAACAAUCUCUCCCUUGGCUUGUUAGGAUUGUCUCUAAAUAAGAAUCUCCAAAAUCAAUGUGAAAACAAAGACUUAUUCAGCAAUCAAGUCAUGUUGAAGUCAAGUCUUUCAUUCUCUUUAUUGAAUUCAGCUCAAAUCACCAAAAAACUUUAACCCUUUUCAUAUCAUCUUUUUUUUUUUUUUAUAAAUUUAUUCAUCAUUUCUUUUAUUAUCUAUUCUAUUCUAACCACUAAAACUCUAUUCAACUUUUUUAUCCAACCAAACUUUCAAACAAAUUUUUUGACUAAUUCAUGUGCACACACAACAAUUCUACUUUACCAUUAAUAUUGAUAUAAACAAAACUUCACUUUAAUACCCACAAUGCAUCAAGAUCCUUUGUAGUGACAUUGGCCCUGUUCGGUAAGGUAAUACUCAGUGUUUUGACCUAGUAUCUUUUAACUUUUACCUAACCACUGCUAGAAUAAUUACCUGCUACUAAUACGGCUAACAACUACUAAAAUAGCUAAUAUUACAGAACAGGGCCAAUGUGAAGUUAUCAAAAAGUACCUACUUCAUCAAAGUUUCAACGGCAGCAUGAAUAGAACUUCUACGAGCAGAACCUUCACGCUGAACCAGUGAGUGAGGCCCACUCCAGACAGACUUAUGGUUGUCAGGGAAGAGACUUCUGCAAAGACUGAGAAGCAAGGGAUUUUCAGAAUGGAACUUCUCAAACAUUAUAGCUUUCUUCCGUCUUUCUUGUGAUUCCUGUAACCAUGUAAAAUUACGGACUCAAUAAACCAAACAAAAGACCUGACAUCAUAGUAAUAUAACACGAGCAUUUUCUUUUCACGAGAAAUUAUGUUAUGCCUGCUGUAAAGUUAUCAAUUUUGGCUAAUAUUUUUAAUUUUAUCAUUUUACCCUUGACUUUUAUGAUUGAUUUCAAUUUAAGUAACCUUGUUAAUAGGUCUCCAAAGGUGUGUGUGCCCCUUCAUAUGUAGAAUGAUGACAUGAAUGAGUUAAUAUUACUUUAUUGAUAAAAUACCUAAUGACUAAAAAUCCACCCACCCACUUGCCAGGCUUCCUAGUCACCAUAUGCUAAGCAAGCUUACUUUACAAGCCCACACACAAAUAUCACAUAAAAUUUAUCAAGUUAAUUACCAUAUCCUUAUUAUGCUGAACUUUUGGAGUUUCUUCCUCAUGCUGCCCCAUUGCAUGUCCCUUCACAUUAUGCUUUUGGCCCUCUGCACCGGCAUUCCCUGCUAAUCCAGGCUGUUGAUUAGGCUCCUCUCCUGAUCUAUCAGCAAACUCUGGUGUCUCAACCUUCCCAGUCUUUUUAAUUUCUAUCUCAUUCUCUACCUCUUCGUCCUCCUCUUCCUCAUCGUCGUCGUCGUCUUCCUCUGCCUCCUCAUGCUUCUCCUUGAUAGAACUGUUCUGCUGCUCAGUAUCCUCAAUUUUCACUCCCUGUCCCUUUCCUUCCACCUCAGCAUCUGCAUCUGGAUCUAAUGAUUCAUCCAUAUUUGAAGAUGAAUCUUCACCUCCAGGGCUUUCUACAAGUGAAGAUUCCUUCAAGAAGAGAGAGAGAGAGAGAAAACAAGUAUUAUUUUCUUAAUUUUUUGUCUUAUUCUUCUUAUAAGCAAAGAAAGAAUAGUACAAUGGGAACCAAGUUGGUGCCAACCUUAACAUAUUUGGAAAAUUAUUAACAAACAAAAAUCAAAGAAACACAUUAUAGCUAUACUUCUUGUUCAAAGGCAAAGAUCCCAGCAGUAGUUAUUGGGAUGAGACUCCAUCCUCUUCUUUCCCCCCCUAUGUGGUGAUAUGACAAACCUAUUCUAUUAUAGAAAGGGGACUACAAUCAAUUAGAAUGAACCUCAAGACUCGAGCACACUUUUAAACAUUUAUGCUUCUAGUUGGUCAACAUGUAUAUUUCACAAUUUAAAGGAACAGUCGAUACCAUUAAGCAGAUCCUCCAGCUAAUCACUCCACUAAUUAAUUUGGCUUACAAUACACUCGAACAAACGCGCAUAGAUUCCUUUAUUUCCUUCUAAUUCCAUAUUCAUACAAAACAGGAAGUGUACUACUGACAUUUACUGCAUUAGCAAAUGGGCAUUAUUGUCUUUCAGUUGAAACACGACAACAAUUAUCUUGGGGACAAAUUAACAGAGAAAUCAGUAUGCAAUAUUUAUCACAUUCAAUCAACAUAUUAAAAUGUAAAUAAUCAUGUGCAUGCAUGUAUAUGUAUAAUUUACAUGAACAAUUUACAAGUAAAAUUCUGCAGAAAAUGAUUAGUAUGAUUAAAUUAGCUGGUUUUCCACUAUACUGUAAUUUUUUCCUAUGUUAACUACUAAGAACAAAAAAGGGUGCACAUUAAGAUUCCACCAGCAAGCAACCAACACAUAUCAAGUAUGCAACUAUCAGAUACUUCUGUCAAAAUCAAAAAGAUAUAUUUCAAAAUCUCAGUAAAUUUAAGAAAUAUUGGCAUGUAACCAAGAUCUUGUCAAACUAAAUAUGGUUACAAACCACGUAUUAUCAAACUAACUUAAGAUCUACUUGAUCCAUGGAAGUUUUUAUAUAGUUAUCAUUCGUUAGUAGCAAAAUAUAGAUGCACCUCUUGCUUUAACUCCUGAGCAAGUUUGUUAUCAGCACCUCCAGUCUGACCUUUAGCAAGUCGAGCAUUCUCCUCACGCUCUCGUCUCCGACGCUUUAAAACACAAAUGGCGCAUAGGCAAUCAAGUUUAUGGCGCCUUCUGCAAAUUAGAAGUAGCUAUCUUACUUAAAGCUAAGAAAGAUUAUGAUCAUCCAAUCUUGUGCAAUCUAUGACAUAGGGUAUUCUAACAUGUGAGAACAAAGCAAAAGCAGGGCAUGCAGUUUGUUUGAUGCAUACAUUAUAUUUUAUCCAAGUUUCUUCUUAACAACAGUUAGCAACUGGACUAAACUGAAUAAAUAUGCAACUACAAGAUUAAGUGAUUCAAAAUAUCUCAAGAACCACAAACAAAGGGAUGGGGAAAAGGAACGAUAAAACAAUUUUCCUCAGCAAAUUGUAUGACCAUUCACUAUUUCCUGCUAGAUUUAUUUGCUGCUAACGUAGAUUUGUCAAAUAACAUACAUGAGACGACUAAAAAUUGGAUAUUCAGAUUCCAGGAAUUACCAUUUCAAGAAUUCACAAAAUACAUCUAGAGCAUUGGAGUAUGCACACUAUGCAUUAACAGAAAAAGAAUUAACCAGUAGAGAGACAUACCCAUGACGCUUUUUCGUCUUCUGUUUAGACUGACCACUUUUACCAUGUCCCUGACUUGAUGCUCCAAUGUCCUCCCCUUGAGGACCUUCAGCACCUGGCACAAUGAAAGUGAAUAAUGCUCAGGCUGCCAUGGUAAAAUGAAGCCAAACAGCCUUAAACCCAAUGGAGCAAGCAUGUUCCAAUUUAAACAACAGGAAGCUAAAAAACAAGUUCCUAACAAUCUACAGAGACAAAUUGCCUUACAUACAAAUUGAUAAAGGAUCAUAAUGAAUCAGAGAUGACUUAUGAUGUUUAGGAACGAAAGAAUUUAUGACAGCAACCAUACAUUCUAUCUUUCAUAGCAAAUACGAUUUGGCACUAAGAACCUAUAUGGCAACGGUUCAUCCGACUUAUAGCCACAUAUAUUUCAGGAAAUGAAUGCCCCGCCACAUUAGUUGUUUCUUGACAUAUUUUGGCCCCAAUAACUCCUGCUUAAGAUCCAUGUAAGCAAGAUAAUGAUAUGGAGGAUAUAAUGGUGCAUCAAUAAUUAAAAUUUCACCUCAAUUGAUAAAAUUAGAAGUACUGAUAUAUUGCCAAAACCACUGAAACUCAUUUUUUGCCCUUUUCAUCAAGGCCUCAAAACUAGCUAUUCCUCCAUUUUUUUAGUUGUGAUUCAUAACAAUAAGAAACAAUAAAUAAAAAAAAAUAAAAAGAUCCCAUGGCUGCAAUGUUUCUGUCAUGCCAACUAACAAAAAGUUAGAUUACUGUUAAAAUGAUAAAAAUAAUCUGUUCAUUUAGCUUUUUCUUUUGGCUCUUACAAACAGAAGGGGAAAAAAAGAAAGGCAUGUUUUUAAAUGAGUCUUAGCACAAAAAAAUAAUUUGACUCAAAUAAUACAACCAUAAAACACAUACCACUGGAACCUCUUGAUUGUUCAGUGAAUAAACCAGCUGCAGUCCAAUACUUCAUAAAAUUCUUUUUCACCCUUCUCAUGAGGUCCAAUAUAUAGUCACCCUUAUUGUUAUACUUGUAACAAUUGUCCCAAAUGUAUUGAACAUCUUUAUAGACAUCCUCUGAGUUCAUAUAUUUAUCACCUUUUUCAAGAUUUCUGCAUAUUGUUCCAAAGUCCAUUGGUGUAUCAAUGAUGUCAAAAUAAUCCUGGUUAAAUGUACCAACAAAAAAAAAAAUUAUUCUAUGUGAAGAAAUAAACAUCUCAAGCAGUCUGGCAUAAAAUAUAGGACUAUUAUCAGAAAAAGAACGGAAAAAAAAAAAACUAGUACUACCACAUUUUCUGUUCAGUCAGCAUAAAGAAAUACUGAAUGUUCAAAGAUGGAUAUUUUUUCUCUUGUUAUAUAGAGGUGGAGAUUGACAUGACAAUGAAGAAGACAGAUGAGAUUCCUAUGUUUUACAUGAGGGUGGUCCUUACAUAGAGAGAAAUGCAGAGAAUAAUAAUAAGCCAGCAAGCAUAAAUGAGAGUCCUAAGAAUUUAUGAUACAUACACUCAAAGACAAGUAAAGGUCAAUGCCAAAUUAAUUGCAAAGCUUUACUGAUCUUGGCAAUGAAAUAUAAUAUUCAAACACAAAGCUUGCAAAGUGAUGGACAAGGGAAAAAAGGUACUAAAGUAUUAUGCUAUAAGGACCAUAAAACAUAAUGUCAUCAAGCAUCCCAAACAACAAGUAUUUCCACUUACAGGUAUUCCUAAAGCUUCAGGAUUGACAGGAACAUUGAAGGGUUCAGCUGCAUCCAUUUUCAUUACCUUCUUAAUCACCUGCAAGGAUAAAUAUAACAAUAAUAAGUACUCCAAACUCGACAAUAUGCAGUCAAGAAACACAAAGGAAUCCCAAUUGAAACUUCUUACUCACCAACAAGGCAGAAUCUAACUCUUGUUUGCUAUAUUGAUAUUCUUGAUGAGGUGUCUUUGGUUCCUUUUGUUGUAAACUCUCAUCCUGUGCCAUUCCAGUGCUACUCUUCUCGACAUUCAAUCCGCCCAGCACUUUUGACGGCUUAAUCUUGAUACUGCCAGGUUUCUUUGACACAUGUCCAGGAACACCAGUUUUAAUUUCGGACAGGGAGUUGCCAGUAUCUUCCAUUUUAUCACCAACCACACCUUGUUUCUCCAAACCCAGUUGGGGGCUACUCUUAUCAGUAUCGCUCGGUGAUUCUAACACCUUUGAAGUCUUGAGCUUAACCUUAACACGCCCAACUGACUUUCCUGCAGUCUUGUCAAUUGAACCAUCAGGGUUGAUACUAGCAAGAUUCAGUGGCUGGUCUGUACCAGUGGAAGAAGGUGUAUCAAUCUCCAUUCCAGAUUCAUAUUCUUCAUUAUUAUGACUGUCAACAUUGUUAUUAUUAUCAUCGUCCUCAUCUGCAGCAGAAUUAUCUUCCCCAUCCAAACUAACUAAAUUUACAACUGCCUCAGUUGUGGCAGGCACAGGAGGGCCCUUUUGCUUGCCUUUCUUGUUCCCUCUCUUUCGUUUCAUAUUCUACCUUAUACAGAAUUCCAAAACAAAAUAAUCAUAAAUCCACAAUUCAACACAUUUUCAGAAUAUCCCAAUAAGUUGCAAUUAAUUUCCAAGCUCAUUGCUUUACAUUGAAAAGAAAAAAUGAAAAAUAAUACACUGGGUAUAAAAUUUUUGAAAUUUUGUCGUUGAAUUAUCGAAAAUAUGAAGCUUCAAAGAAAAUUACAAGCAAAAUCCCAAGACAGAUAGCACAAGGUACACUUCAAGUCUUCCCUAGCAAGCAAACCCUAGAAUUAACCCUGACAAAAAGCAAAAGCGUAAAUUAACAGAUGAUAAAUAGCACAUACCUUCUUCCAGUUGAAGGAGAAAUUCGAGCUAAUAAUUGAUUCGGAGGAUAUACAGACAGAUAGAGAGCUCUGUUAGGGAGGUUUAAGGUUUUACAAUUUUGCGAGGCUUUGAGCAUUCAAUUCAAUUAAGAACAUUUUUAUUUUAAAAAGGACUUAAUCAGCGAAAGCGGUGUCGUUUAAUAGUAACUGAAUUUUAUUUAUUUAAAAAAAUGCUUUUAUAAGUUCGUUACUAUGAAUUAUUUAAUGAAUUUGCCCUAAAUUUCCUUUUUUUUUUAUGUAGAUGUAAUUAUUAUGAAUUUGACUUUUUACGGUUAUUUAAAAUAAAAUUUUUUAUAAAAUUUUAAUUGAAAUUGAAUUUUUUAAAUUAUUUUAUUUAAAAUAAACAAAAAUAAUUAAAAUUUCAUCAUAUAUAAAAAUAAAAUUAUAAAUAAUUUUAUAAUAAUUUAUUAAAAAAUUUUAUAAAAUCAUUUAUAUUAAAUGAAGAUAAAAUAAAUUAAUACUUUCCAAUUAAAUAUUUAUAUAUAAAUUUAUAAGCUCAUUAUACAUUUCUAUACAAAGAAAUUAAAUUUGAGGGUAUUUGACUCCGAUUGCUUUUUUUUAAAAAAAAAAUUUAAAACUUACAAGCUACUUAUAAAUUAAUAAAAAUAAAUAAAUGAUUUGGUAUUAUUUUUUAUAUUAUUUAAAAAAUUAAUAUAAAUUCAAAACAAGUAAAGAGUUAUAUCACUUUCUUGUAAUUUUUAUUUAUUUAUUUAUUAAUGAUGUUAUUUUAUACAUAUGGAUAUUUUUUUUACUAUAAUUCUAUUUAUUCUUAAAAUUUUUUAAGAAAAUAACUAGGCGAUCAUUAGUAAAAAUUGAAUUCAGUUGAUUAUUAUAAAUUUAUUAAAUUGUGUAAUAAUUAUUUUAUUAUUAGAAUAAAAUAAGUAGUUAAUUUGUUAAAUUUUUAUAUUUAAUUAUUUAUUGAUAUAUUUGUAUCGCUAAAAUUAUCUUAUUAUGAUAUUUUUGUAUGAUAAUGUAAUUUUUUUUUUAUAAAAGUAAGAAGUCCGCUCUUUUAUCUUGAUGAAUACGUAAGAGUUUGGCUCACUUGAAUUGAAAAAAGUUUAAACCGUACCGCACAGUUCCAACCUUAGGUUUCCAAUUUAUUUCUUUUGAAAAAGCACAAGGCGUCGUAUAAACCCAGUUUACAGUAACUCAUUCGAUUAUUAUUUUCUCAAAUAAAUUACAUUUAUAUAAAUUUAAUAUAUAAUUAAAUGAAUUUUAUAAAUUAAUAAAAUAAAUUAACAUAUAUAAUAAAUAUAAUAUUAUAUUAUAAAUAAAUUAAAAUAAUUAAUAUAAUUUUUAUAAUUAUAUUUAUAUAAAUUUAAUAUAUAAUUAAAUUAAUAUAAUAAAAUAUAAAAAUUAAAUAAAUAUAAUUCAAAUUAAUUACUACUGCACUUGAACAUUUAUAAUUGUUUUUUAAUUAAUAGUUUACUGUACAGUAAACAAAAAAUAAUGAAGUAAACAAAAUAUAAUGAAUCAGACAUCGGUUCUAUCGCAUUUUAUAAAUGUGAUAGAAUUUUGUUUUUUUAUUUAUUUUUUAAAAAAAUUAGACCCAGAACUUUGCCUUCAUCCAGAAAAUUUUUUUCUGGAACUAAGAUUUUAGAAUUUUUUUUUUUUUUAAAUCUUGAAACAGUAAAAAGCUCCUUCAAUUACACACACUGCCCAUCAGAAUUACAAAAGCAUCAUCUGAACAACUAAUAAGCCAAAAGCGAAAAAUCUCUGCAGGUUCCUUUUAUAAUUCUCAUUGUCAUUUUCAUCUAUGCAUCAACAUAAAGAAUACCAACCAUGAUCAGCAAUCACUCCAAAACCAAAUAAUAUAGAACUCUGAUUACAAGCAACAAAAUUCAUGAUUAUGAACAAUUCAUGCAUAAAUACAUAAAGCUUGUGUAGCAGUUGGCAUUAUGUGUCCAAUCCAAAAAGGCAGGUUCAAUCCAUCAAGCCUAACAAUAAUAUCCUGUGCCAACAGAAGGGGAGAGAUGUUCCAAAACAUAAAUUGAGCAAGUACUGUGAGCAUCAUGCGUCUCUGUAGUCUCUAGUCAACCUGCAUGUAAGGCAGGAAUAUAACAAAAAGUUAAAAAAUUUAUUUAUUGUAGUCUCAAUAGAGGUCAAUGAUCAUAAUCAGCACAUAUUCCAAAUUAAAAGUUUAUGUAAGGUGCUGCAGUAGGACAGCAAAACCAGCCAACUUCUCAUCAGAUGGAAGGACAAAUCGGGCAAAUAGGAGACCCAUUAUAAUAAGAUAAAGGUGUUCUUUAACAAAGUCAGGAAGUGGUUUAAGAGCAUCCAACUCACUCCCACCUGGAUAUUUACUUUUUAUUGAUAUACCCUUUCAUUAACGCAAUUCCUUUCUCUCAUUUAUAGGUUACACUAUCCCCUCAAUAAAUGGUGAAGCAAGUAUCUAACACAAUCAUCUUCUACUCUAGACUCAACCCCUGUGUGUGCCAGUACUCUGCAUAGGACAAAUUGAAUAGGAUAAACGUCAAUCAAGCACUAAGAUUAUGUUUAUUAUGAACACAUGGAAUAGUCAUAAACGCUAGCAUUGUGGAAUUAAAUCCACUUUUUCCCUAAACUUGAGGCAAUGUCCAAUUUUGCCCAAAAAAUUAAGUUUUUAGUCCAAUUUACUGAAACCCUUUGAUUUAGGAUCAAACUAGCGCAUCUUUGACAACAACAACAAAAAAAAAGGAUGAGAAAUAAUGAUUUCCAAAUUUUUAAUAAUAAAAUAUUAAUUUUAUAUUUUUAAUAUUACAAAAAAAUAUUUUUAAUAUUUAAAAUAUAAAAUUAAUAUUUUAUCAUAAAAGUUGAAAAAUUAUUAUUUUCACCUUUUUUGCUAAAAGUGGGCUAAUUUGAUGCUUGAUCAAAAGGUUUAGGUAACUGGCUAAAAACUUAAAUUUAGGCAAAAUUGGAUAUUGCCUCAAAGUUUAGAGGCAAAAAUGACAUUUCUUCCAUAUAAUUGUGGACCCAUAGAAUAUUUAAGAGCAAAUUAUUUUAAAAGUUGAGGUUAUGGUAUGGCCUAAUACUCAUUCCCUAUUUAAAAUUAGCUAUUACUAUAAAUGAUGAAAUGUUGAUAUUUGUGAAUAACUUUACAACAUCCACAUGGUUUAGCCAUCCAUCCCCAACCCACUAAAAAUGGGUAGACAUUUUUAAUCUAGUCAACCAUGAAUUCAAAGUUCAUAACUACUCCAUGCCCUCUUUGACAAAAAUAAAAUAAAAUAACUAAAGUGUGCAUGGACAUUGAAAAAGAAACCCUACAGAGGAAAAGUGUCAUCACCUCAUCAGAUUGAACUGCAUGACUUGAUGAAUGUGCUUGUGGCAGUAAAUCUUUAGGAGCAUUUUUAGGAAACUAUCAGAAAUGAAGAGUAAUGUCAUGCAAUGCAAAAUGCUAUAUACUCUACAAUUUAAUUCAACAAUACCCAUAGAUACCUGUUUUGAACCCAAAGCACCCAUCUUGUCAAUCAGAUUCUCCAUAUUUGAAGUCAUCUUAACUAUCUGUGCUUCAAGGGAUGCAUACUUUUGCUCCAUUGCCUCCAUUUUGUUUAACAUCUUGCUUACCUCCUCAUUAGCUGAUCUUUUGGCCUCCAAACCCAUCCUCAUAAGACUAUAAGGGCUAGGUUUUUGGCCCCAGACAUCAGCAGGACUGGGACCCAACCCGACCAAGUGCAUAUGGCUACCUUUUCCUUUUCCCAUAACUUGGCCGUAGGUGUCAUCAUAGUCAUCACUGCCAUGUGAAGUCCGCUGCUUCUGAGCUUCUAGUUUACGGAGUUUUGUCUGCAAGGAAGAUUCGAGUAUUCAGUUUAUAAGGUUUAAGUACUGCACAAAGGAAAUUAUGUGGAAUAACAACAUGAGUAAUAAGUGCGCAGCCUAGUUAAUUGAAACAUACUAUUGCUUCUGCUGCUACUUUGUCCACAGGUCGUCCAUCCUUACGUGUACGGGUUAGGAUGUAUAACUCUCCUCUAGUAAGUUCCUUUCCAUCAGCCCUCUUUGCAAGCUAUCAUCACAUAAGCAACAAUAAAUUUGCAUGUCUUUUAUAUACUAUGUGCAAAUACAAGUUCCAAAAAGUUUGGAUUACCUCUUCCUCGCGUAUCCUUGCAAAGCUCUUUGUACCUGCAGCAUGGGCACUCUUCUGCUUUGCACGGUUAGCCUUAUUUCUAGCACAACGCAACUGUAAUGCCAUAGGUAAGUUUGAAAAUAUGAGUAUCCACACGAUAUACAAAUAAUAACUUGUAAACUGCCAUAGCCAUAGCUAGCACAUACCUGCACCUCUUCAGAGUUCCAAUGCAAUACAAGGGCUGCCCAUUGAUCAGGAAGGACUCUUUUGUUACAGUCCUUCAAACGUUCCUCAUCAGUUGUAUGAGGGUUAUAAUGGUCAGCCUUUAAUCUUGCUUUCCAGUUCCUCCAUUUUGAUGCAAGGGACUUCAUAACCCAAGUUUUGCCCGUGGGGUCAAUAUCAAACUUCAUCUGCAUCACAAACAAGAAAGGAAUCAGUCAAGAAACAAUAAAGUUAAAAAAUAUUUGAAAGAACAAAAUCAAGAAGAUAAAGGAGAUUUUCUUUUGUCCCUUUCAAUAUCAACCCUCCCAGGCUCCCACCCUAUCGCUUUACCACUAAGAAGAGAAUGUGAUUUCUUGAUACCUGCACAAGCUGCCACAUAUCCUCUUUGUUUGCAUCUGGUAUUCUUGACCAGUCCAGAAAAUUAAGUGGCGCCAUCUUACCAUUUCGUGCUAUGAUGCCCAAGAAGGAAGAUAGCUUUGAUGCUUCAGCACCAACAGGUUGUCCCAGCAUGUUGAUAGGGACAAGUAUUCGCUCACCCUCAGGCAAGUCAAACAUGAAAUGGCAUUGAGUGGGACCUCGACCGCUCUUCUUUCUCUUAAGUGUGGUGUUUUGGGACCUAGGAGGGUGGUUGCGGCUCCCAGGGCCCGACACUGAUGGGAUUUCAGAGUAUCUCUUCGUAUGUCUUCUUCCCCCCUUGCUAGCGUCAACAUGUGGCAUGCCUAAUCAUCUCACAUAAAAUACCAACAAAUAAAAAGGGCUGUAGGUUAACAAAAAAAGUAACACAAGAAAAAGGAAAAAAGGAAGCUGAUUAAAUUCACCUAAAGAGAUAUAUGCAAGACCUGUGCAUUUGUAUUACUGCUUUCUUUUUCUCACUUCUAAUUGUGCACAUAUCAAAAUCCAAAAAAAAUAUUUUCAUCUACAUCAUCAAAACUUUCAAGAAUAGCAUACCUGCACCAGAAACACCUACACUUGCCUGAGAAGGCUGAGGCCGCCAAAUGCCUGUCCUAGGCUGAUUUGAUUCACUUGCUUGGCAGUGGCUGGGUUGAGGUUGGUUCAUGCUGGUAAACAAUUGAUCCACUGAACAGCCAGGUACACAUCCAUUGUGUGUCAAGGUGCAAUCCAAAGGAAAUAGUAAGUGCAGAUGGCCAACAAAAUAAUCAGAGGUCAGCACAUAUUUAACAGAGCUCAAACAUUGAAACAUCACUAGUAUACGGCAAUGACACUAUAAUCAUGAACUAACAGGCUGCAGGAGAUAUCAGACAAUCUUAGUAGAUUUAAUAAAUAAAACAUCACAAUGGGCUAAUAGGAUGCAUAUCCAUGGAUCAUUUCAGAAAUGAAGAAGGAAAUCAUGCCCUGCAACUAAUUUUGUAUACCUAACUAAUUAUUUCUACCAAAUAACCAAAAACAUGAUUUCCAAUGAAGAAAUACCUUUCCCCUUUGUUAAUGAGAAGUAGUUUUUAUGAUUUUCGUGAAAUCUAGGAACUAAUCCGGCAAAAUUAUGCUCUAAGAACUGCACUAGCCAAGUCAAGCAAACAAAGAAAAAGCAUAAGCAUGAAAUUCAUACCACCAGGCUUCUUCAGAAUAUCACUUCGUAGUCCUGAAGCAGUCCAGUAUUUCAUAAACUUCUUCUUCACCCUUUUCAUAAGGUACACAAUGUAGUCACCCUUUUUGUUAUACUUGCGACAAUUCUCCCAAAUAUGCUCCACAUCCUUAUACACAUCUUCUGCGUUCAGGUACUUGAUACCAUUUUGAAGAUUGCUACUUAUUGUUCCAAAAUCCAUAGGCAUAUCUACGACAGUAUAAUAAUCCUGCUCAUCAUGAUAGACCCCCAGCAACCCAACAGGAGAGAGAGAUCAGUCCAUGUCAUACAUUGGUUAUGAGAGGGGGAAAAACACGUCAUAUAUCCAAUCACAAAUGAACAACAGAAUAAGCAUGCACAAUAUACAAAACAAAACUUUGAUGCUAUUAUUGUGAAAUUGGACACCAUAGUGGAAAGGCAUAAUCAUUAUGCUUUUAAUAAAACUCUUAUUACUAUCCGCAUUUUUUCAUAUAAGGGUGAUGAAAAGAGAAGAUGAAGUGCAAAUGAAACCUGUUUCAUCUGGAAUAAAACAAAAAGGCAAAUGCAUUGCACCCAUAAGUCAUAGAAUGCAAUUUUUUAGUCUCUCCCCAAAACUUGUCAGGGAUGAACAAUAAAAAAAGAGAUUGCAGAAGUGCUUGGCCAUCUUCAAAAUUCCCAGCAAUGGGUGUUACGCAUGUGUAAAAUUUAGCCAUUUAGUUAUCUGCAGGGGUGGAUUUAGGCAUGGGCCCCAAUGAAAUUUUAGAAAAUUUCUUUAGGGUAUUAAGGUAGAGUUCCCAUAGAACUAAAUAACUAAGAGGAAAAUUACCAUUAAGUCCCUAAUUUUUUAAAAAAUUCAUUAGUUUAUUUUUAUUUGAAAAUUAUUUAAUUAAAAUAUUUUUUGUUCUAUAAAAUCAAAUUCUUUAGUUUUUCUAUCAAAAAUCUAUUAAAAUAUCUUGAUUAUUUAUAUUAGUUAGUUCAUAAUCAUAUAAUUUUAAUGAUACAUAUCAUUUAGUCCUCGUAAAUUUAAAUAUCCAGACCAUUGAGUCUUUGUGAACAAAGGAUAAAACAACUUAGCUAACGAUUUAGUUGACAAAUGGACUAAACAAUAUAAAUUUCCCAAAAACAUAGAAACUUGAUAGUAAUUCUUCUAUAAAUAAAACCCCAAUCCCACUACUAUUUUUAUAGCAAUCACACUUACUUAUAUAUCCUCUCCCCUAUUUCUUCAUUAAUCCAUAAAAUUUUCUUCUAAUCGUCAAGAUUUCAACUGCUCUUAUCCUGCUUAUUUUUUUUAAAAUAUUGAUAAAAUAAAUUAUCAACUCAUCAUUUUUUUUGUGUACAUUGUUUUUUAUUAUUAAGAAGUGAUAGUUGUUUCUGAUCAUCUCUAUUUAUAUGAUUAAGUUAUAUAUUUUAGUCUAUUUAAAUGUAGGAAAUAAAUUUUAAAUGAAAAAAAAAAUAGUUUUAUGAGUAGCAGUUUUAUGUACUACUACAUUUAGAAAAAAAAAAUUAAAUAGGUAAUGUUUUAAAUUAUUUAAAAAUUAAAGAUCUUAAAUAUAGAUAAAAACCAAAUAAUGCUUUCAUAUGCAAUAGUUUAAACUACUGAUUAUAAAAAAAAAUCUAAAAACUCAUAUUCUACAUUUUAUAUGAAUUUAACUUGCAAAAAUUUGACAUAUAUAAUUUUUUUUUCAUUACUUUAUUUGAACUUGAUUCUCUACUUGACAACUUUGAUUUUGAUGUGUAUAUAGACAACAAUUUUUUUCUGAAAUGAGUGAAAUUUGCGAUUUUACUGAGCAAAUAAAACUGGGCACCGUUACUUCAAGUUUUGCAUCAGCCACUGGUUAUCUGACUAGUCUGAUCUUCAAAUCUAAGGUAACAGAAAUCCACUAAAAGAUUUAAGUGACUUUAAUUUUUGCUCCAUAACACCUUCACUGCCUCGAUAAUGCAAAUAAGUGUAUGAGGAACAAGUUGCUCUUUUUUCCUCUGCAAUGCCUCUAUUCUAAACCCUGGACAUGUCAUGUCUAAUGCAGGUACUCCCAUAGCCUCUCAUGUUGUUCGAGAGAUAAGUACUACCCUAACAUGCAAAUAGAGUUUAUACUCAUGCAACAUAUACAAUGCACCAAAUAGCCAUUGACACUUACAGGUAGUCCCUGAGCGACAGGAUCCACAGGAGCAUUGAAAGGUACAGCCUCAUCCAUUUCCAUAACCUUCUUAAUCACCUUUAGCACAAAUAAAAAGUUCAAAAAAAAAAAAAACCAUCAAAACUUUUCCUACACAAAACCAAACAUUUGGGACCUCCAAUAAUCUCAAAUCACAGAAACCACAAACUUCACCCAAAAGCCCAAUAACCUAAAAAAUGUCCCACAUACCUCUAAGGUAGCUUUCAAUUCAUUCUGGUUAAUCCGAGAAUAAUGAGAUGGGUUCUUCGACUGUAGUUCUUUCCUGCUUGAAGAUCUCAUUCCCUUAGACGUCUUAACUGUAGCACUUGUACCUUUCUUUGAGGCUUCCCCUCUCUUAGGUCGAGCACGUUUGUUAGCUGGUCUGUUCACCAUCCAUUCAGUUGUUGGUUCAUGAAAACCACUACCAACUCCUCCCUCGAAAUGAAACCCAUCACUUUCGCCUGAAGAAGAAGACGACGAAGACGCAGACGAACUAUCAGAAUCAUACAAACUAAACCCAUAAUCAUUAGGUCGAUCAGGCACAGAAGUUCCAUCGACAUUUUUGGCAACGAAGUCCAAAAACGCUUCCUCAUCAACAUUCUCCACAGUAGGCUUUUUCGCACCAGAUUUUUUGGGGCGUCCACGCUUCCGUUUCAUAUCUAUAAACAACGCUAUAAUCAGUCUUUCAAUGAUAAAAAGGAAGCAAAAUAAAAAGGAAAAAUGAAAAAUUGAUGGGUACCUACUUCGAUUUGUGAAUUAUGUAUAAGUUUAGGAAUUGGGGUUUAGAAAAGUUGAGAAUCCGAGGCGUUGGGUUGGGAAUGGGGAGAUGAGAAAUGAGAACGGAAGCGUUGGUGCACUGGCAGUGUCGCCAAAUGCAGUAAUAGACGAGUGGGAUUUCGGAACUUGGCGUAGGCUUCUGUUAUGCUUUGUUUGACUGAGCGUUAAAUUUUAAUUUUUUUAAUUAAAAUUGUUGUUGAAUUAUUAUUAAAAUAUUAAAUAAAUUUAAAUAAUAUUAAAUAAAUUAAAUAAAGGAGUAUUAAUUUUUUUAUAAAAAUAAAACUUUAUAAAUAAUAAUCUUUUAUUAUAUUAAAAAAUAAUUACAAAUAAAAUAAAAUUAGCUAUAUUUUUUAAUUAUAAACAAUUAAAACUAAAAAUAAAUAUUUAAUGUAAAAUAAAAAUUUUAAUUUUAAUUUUAAAUUUUAUUAUAUUUAAAUAAAAUUAAUAAUUAAUACAUUUUUUAUUUUAAUUACAAUCUAUUUUAUAAUUAUACUAUGAUAACUUUUUAAAGAAUUGCAUGCUUAUUAACUUUAUUAUAUAAUAAGUAUUAUUACAUAAAUAAAAAUUUUAUAUUUUUAUUUUAAUUAAAUUAUUAAAUAUUAAUUUAAUUAAGUUUAUAUAUGGUUUGUAUUUAAUAACAAUUUUAAUUAAUUGAUAUAUAUAUAUUAAAAUUUUAUAGAGUUUAAAUACUAUAUGAAUUUGAUUUAUUAAACUAGUAGUUUUAAUUGGUUUAAAUUAUUUUUAUUUAUUAUUAUGUCUUUAAAAAUACACAAGUAUAAUAUUUAAUUUUCAAUAUUAUCUCCAACAAUUAUUUAUAAUUUUUUAUUUUUAUAAAUUAAUUUUAUUUUUAAUAAAAAUACUAUUUUUAUAUUCAAUUAUUUUUGUCCACUUCCUAAACUUAUUAUCUAUUUUUUAUACUAUAAUAAUAUAUAAAUUAAUUAUUAUAACUCUAUUUAAUUUUCUCUUAAUUUUAAGAAUUUUUUAAAAUAUUUUUUAUUAUUUAAUAAAAUUUAAUAUCUUUAAAAUGAGUAUAAUUAAAAAAUAAAAAAAUAUUUUUUAAUAUACGUAAAAAAUAAAAUGAAUAAAAAUUAUAUGAUAGAGAAAUAUUUUUAUAAUAUCUUUUUAUUAUUAAAUUUAAUUUGGAAAUUUAUGUAAAUUUAAAAUAUUAAUUUCAUUUAUUUUAAUAAUAAAGUAUUUAAUUUGAUUGGUCAUAAAAAAAAUUAAUAUAUAUUAAAUAAAACAAAAAUAUGAUAAAAUUAGAAGAAAGUAAAAUAAAAGUUAAAAGUUUAUUUUAUAAAAUAAUUCUAUCAUAAUUUGAAAAUUAAUAUAAAUAUAUUCUAAAAUAUUAAAUUUAAAAUAAAACAUAGGAUAAUGAACAUAUUUUUUAUAUAAAUUUUAAAAUGCUUUUCGAUUAAUAAUUAAAGUGUGAAUAAAAAAUAUAACGUUUUAAUUUUUAUUAAAAUGGUAGCAAAUUAAAACCAAAAUAAUAUAUAUGGACAUAUUUUUAAAGUAAAAAAAUAAAAAAAUCAAUUUCUAAAUUUUGUUAACUAUUUAAUUGUCCCGUAUUAAUUAUUUACUUGUCAAAAUAGUUAGCAAAUUCUAAAGUAAAAUUCUUUUUGACAAAUAUUUCACCUCCACCCGUAAAAUACUAAAUAAUUUUUUUAAGGAAAAAUUAUUUUUUAGUAUUUGAGAUAUAGUCUAAUUAAAAGAUUCGUAUUUUUAUUUUUAGAACUCAAUACUUUCGUCUUUAAAAUUUAAUUCCAUUAAAAUUAGAUAUUUUUCCGUCAAAAGCACUGUUAAUGACAGGAAAAAUGAUCGAAUUACAUUUUAUAGAACUCAACACUUUAGUCCUUAAUAUUUAAUUUCUAUAAAUUUAUAGGUUUCUCUCAAAAAAUUGAAGAAAAAAAAUAUGUUUUCGUCCCUAAAAUAUUAUAUAAUUAACAGAUUUGUCCUUCUAUUUUUCAAAUUCAACACUUUAGUCCCUAAAAUUUAAUUUCGUCAAAAUUCAAGGAAGAAAAUCUCAAUUUCAAACUCAAUCUCCAUAAACAAAUAAAAAUUUCAAUAAAUUUAAGAUUCAAAUUGUGUGAAGAUAAUAAAAAUCAAAAUAUAUAAAAUUUAGAUUAUUAAAAAUAAAAAGUUAGAAUUCAAUAGAAAUUAUUUUUGUGGUGCCGCUCGCUGUGGAUCACUUCUUGCAAUUUGAAAAAUUCAUGAAAAUGUCUCUGACAUUUUAAAAAGUCUACUAGUUAAUUUUUCCAUUAAUUUUAGUUGUUAAGUAUUAUAAAAAAAUAUAAAAUACCCCUGAUAUGAAGGGACUAAUUAGUAAACUUUUUAAUAAUUUGAGGGACCAACUAAUAAUUUUUUUUAAACUAUAGGGACUAAAUAGUAAAAUAUUUAGUAAUAAAAUUAAUAGAGGAACUAACUAUAGACUUUUUAAAAUAUCAGAGACAUCUUAAUAUAUUUUUCAAAAUUGAGGGACUAAAUAGCGAGUUUUUCCAUCCUAUAGAAGCUAAAUAGUAAUUUUUUUAUUUUAUUAUUGAUAAGGGUAUUUUUAAAAUUAUAUUUAUUCUCUUUCUUUUGACCAAGUGAAAAUUAUUGACUUAACAGAAAUUUUUUACGGAGAGAUUUUGGAUUUUGACGGAAUUAAACCUCAAAGACGAAAGUAUUUGAUUCUAAAAAUAUAGGGACAAAUCCGUUAAUUAUGUUAUACCUUAGAGACUAAAAAAUAAUUUUUUCUUUUUUAACAUUAAAAAUAUAAAAAUCCUAUGAGAAUCAUAAAUCGAAGUUGAUGGAAAUUUGUCCACAAUCUGUCUUGUUUUCUUAUUUUUGUUUUUCUUCCAGAUCGAUGCUUAUUCAUGUGGGACUCCUUUUGUAACGACCCGAAAAUCGGACCGCUACCGGCGCUAGGAUCCAGAUCGGCUUAAGGCCGCCGGGACCCGUAGCAAGCCUGACAUAUAACCUGUAAACCUGUAUAAUCCCAUACAUGAUCCACAACAUACAUAAAAAUUAAAACUUUUCUUUACAUGAACAUCAACCAAACUCAACCUGUGCAUAAAACAUUAACAUAACAUUGAUCCCUCUGUGGGAUCUCAUCAGUGCCCCCAAGGGGUGACAUAACAUACGUUGAGUUGGUUUACAUAAACAUCGUAAAAAUCUCUAAGAUCAUGUGUUAAAGGGAUAGCACAAUCUAUGGUCAAGCACACACUAACAUCCAUAAACCUCAUUACAUAACUAUACUGUACUUUUACAUUACAAUUUGAUCAUGUCCAUUGCUAGCUAUUACAUAAGCAUGACUUCUUUACUCUAUCCGGACUCCCGCACUAUACUGUACCUGCAAGCCUGGGGGUAAAGGGAGAGGGGUGAGCUAAAAGCCCAGUGAGCUGAACUAUAAAACAUUUUAACACUAUGCUUUAAUGAAAUGCAUCAUAACACAGACAAUUCACAUAAGGGUUGGGUGAACUUGUCACCAAUUAGUCCAAGCUAACAUGGUGCCAGGCCGUAGCAUGGGGUCCUGUGUAGCUGUGCACGGGCAUGUUGCCUCAUCCUCACAUGCCUGCUAGCCCCAUCGAGGAUCAGUUAGCUCAUUUUGUAGGCCUCUGACUAUGCGCCCAUCGCUCCCCCAACGCUCCUAGCAAGUGUGCAUGCUCCGCAGUCCAACUGUGAACAUGGUCACUUGGCCUUCUCUAUAGGCCUACCGCAACCUGCCUACUACCUGCAUGCCAGCCUAUCUCUGCUUGCGUCUGCUGGCCAACCAGUAUUCUGUAGUCUUACUGCGCUUGCCUGCACUCAUAGGCCUAUGAAAUCUGCUCAGUGUCUACAAGCACACUUGCGCCAGUUUUGCCCAUAAGUCUGUUGGCUUCAGCAAACUCCUCGUAGGUCUCUUAAAACAGCAUCCAAUAGCCAAUUUGCUCAUUGCCUUCAUCCCUUUGUAGUACCCCAGCAGCACAACUCGUCCUCGUGGCUAGGUGCCUCUACCAUCCUCUCGGCCUCGCACCUACUAUGCUCCAUCUCGAGCAUUGUUGCCUCCUGUCAAUCCUCUUGACUCAGCGAACCACAAGUCAAAGACUUCCACUGCCUCAAUGGAACCCACAUCCACGACACUACUCACCUCCACCAGGUGGUCGCUACCUUAGUAACUCCCAUCCACACACUCCACCAGGUCUUCCUUCACCA
rnacentral:lncRNA from 1 species